UUUUUUUUUUUUUUUUUUGGUUUAACAUUGUAAAGUUAGUAAUUGUAGUAAAGUGUAACUCUAUUUUUAUUCCUUUACUAUCAUGUUCUUGAUAUUGAACUCUAUUUUUAUUCCUUUACCAUUAUGUUCUUGAUAUUGUUCAAGUGUAAACAUAACUAACUUUAAUUCUACAUUGCCUAAUCACGCAAACUAUAAUGUAAACAUCAGUAAAUCUACUGUACAAUGCUCAAUACUUUAUAGCCCAUUGCUCUAGAAAUCAAUAGGGUAAAUGGCAUUAGAAAUGCUGAUACUCACAGCAUCAAAAACUCUGCUUAAUUGUUGGAGUAAUCCAACCAAAGAAUGGCUCAGAAGAAUUCUUCUUCCAGCUGGAUAAAACCCUUUCUCACAAACAACAAUUGUUGUUGGCUUCCCACUACAAACCCUAACCUAUAAAUAAAUUCAAAAGUCCAAUUCAAUCAUAUAUAACUAUAAAUAUUUAAAAGGGAAAAAAAAAGAAAAAAGAAGAAUUUAUCAAAUUACAUCAAUUUGAAAGAAAUCAUCUUCGGAUUUAUCAUCCAGAAAUGGUCGAUUUGAUCUCCUAAUAUCUGCAACAAUUUUUUUUUUUUUGGGAAAAUGACAAUUAAUUCAAGGAACACAUACAAAAUUCGAACGAAAAUAGCAAUAAAUGACUUUAAAAAAACAUAAAUAAAAAGAAAAGCUUACAUUGGAUGGGAGGAGUGAGAUGAGAGAAGGAGAAAAAAUCAUAGAACUGCCCGAGCCGCGGCGGAGGACACAUCAUAGCUGCGAAGGCAUCGCCAUUUUUCUCCGCCGAGUCUCCGUCAUUGGAAAUACUUUCGGGCUUCGCCGGCUUGAGUUUCUGGUGGGGAGCAAUGGUACCGGACUUCUUGCCGGAGACUUUGGGCUUAGAAGUCGAUUCAGAAACGACAUUUUCCGGGCCGGGUUCGGACUCAGCAGAACCGGAUUCCUUGUGACCUGUAUCCUUUGAACCGGGUUUACCGUUGGGUUUGGGCGAAGAAGAUGAAACGCCAAACGACGUCGUGCAAGCGACAAUGUCGAGUAGUCGUCGAAUGUGGGCCACGGCUUGGCUUUCAGUGUAGUCCUCUGCAUAGUUUAUUGGAUAAUGACCCCUAUAGUUUGUAGUAAUGGACUAUAGCCACAAUGCAUUUAAUGAAAAAUAAUUUACAUCAAAAAGUCUAAAUAUUUAUACAUAAAACAUGAGCAUCCUUUCCUUCUUGGAUAGAUUUUAAUGUUUCAAGGAUUAAUAAUCUAGGUAUAAUAGAUAAAUUUUAAAAAACAUUUUACACUUUUUGAAUUGUAAAGUUCAAGAGUUUUUCUAUCCUUAUCAUACUGUAGGAAAUUAGUAUAAUUUGAUUAAUUCAUAUAGGAAAAAGAAGGAAUAAAAAAUGGAAAGUGCAAAUUCUCAACAAAUCAAAUUUGAAACUUUAAAUGAUGAACUAACAUCAUAAACAUUUUGAAACUAAUCAAUUGGAUGUUAUCUCAAUCUUAUUUUGCAUAUACAUAAAAGCAAGACUUGAGACAAGAAAGCAUGUUUCUUAUUUGACAAUUAGAGGGUAUAUCUUAAUUCAAAUUAUACAAAAUCUCACAAAACAAUUACUCCAUAUGAACAUUUCAAUGUGUUUUCUUAUAUAAAAGAAACAUGUUGGAAUUGUAAAUAUUGUAAAUACCUUCAACAAUAAUGAGGUGGCAUGGUUUGAGAGAGGUGAUUUCGAUGGAAUCCUUUAGCCGUGAACCUCGUACCUGGUCAAAGGCACAAACCUUUAGUUAAUUAAUCUUCCUAAGAGAUUUAUUGAAGUAUUUCCACAUGGUAUUUUUAUCCUGGAAUUUUUUUAUAAACUCUUCUAAAAAUAUGCGUCGGAAAAUAUUACCUUCAAAAUAUAUUAUGAGAAGUUGAAAUUAAAGUAAGACAUUCAACUAUAACUCCACAGAGCACUCAACAACUCAAAGUACAACUUUUGGCGUACAUUGGGAAAUGCAGUUGCUGGUUUGCAUAAUCAUGAUCCCUACAACAUUCUGUUUAUUUCUUUUUGGUGAGUUGGCAACCGAUUCUGGCACACUGAGAAAUUUAAUCUCAUAAUAAUUUUGACAUUAAUUGCCAAAAAUACAUUUUGCAUCAUAACUUUUUUGUUAGUCUUGAAUUACAAUUGACAUGUAAGGAUAGUGUGGAAAAUUUAUUGUGACAUUAAAAUUAUGGUUUGGACAAUAUCAUUUAGGGAUAAUAUGAGAAACUUCCCCUGAGGUCUCUACAAAUUUUAGAAAGCUUCCCUUAAUUUUCAAAAAUUAUAGUCACCUCCCUUACUUUCAAUGUUUACGCUUUAAAAUAGCCCAAUAGGUUACCAAUUCCUUCAAAUAUCCUAAACUACCCUUUUGCAAAAAAGAAUAAAAAGAAAUGAUAAAAAAUUUUGUUGAUUGCCCUUCUUCCAACACCAAAGCCAACAAACUCUUUCUGCCAAAAAUAAAAGUUUGAAAAAAAAUCCAACUAUGAUGAUUGCUUUCUUCCAAGCAACACUAGCACAAAAGCUAAGCAAACACCCCAAUCUGAAUCAAAAUCAAUUCCAAUAAUUCUAGCACCCAAAACACCACAACCUGAUUUAUGUCCUGCAACCCCAGCCCCUACAAUUCCUACACAAGUCAAUUAAACUCAUCACUUGGUGCUAAAUUAAAUAAAAAUCAACCUCAAAUUUUACCCAAAACUAAUAUUUCAUCAACAAUCAAUUGCGCUUCUUUCCUCUUCCUCUCUUUGCAACCUCCUUUAUUUUUUUUAACCACCCAUUUCUAGAGCCCAUCCAUCUCUCAAAUUCUUGACUUUUUCACAUCACCAAGUUUUAUCACCCAUAAUCAACCAAAAUUAGAUAAAACAAAUAAACGUAAAAAAAAAAUCAAACCCAUUACACUUAGAAUUAAAAGGAAAAGUGGAUAAGCCUAAUCAUGUUUGCAAACAGAAGAUGGGUAUAGAGAAUAAAGAAGAAGGAAAGGAGGGAGAUAGAUACGAGCAAGGGAUGAUAGACAGAAUUUGGUCCUGAAUUGGAAAAGAAAUAUUAAGUAGAAAGGAAGGCGGUGGGAAUUUGGGCAAAGAAGGAAAUGGAAGAAAAAGCAAGAUAGAAAGGAAGAAGAGAGAGAGAGCAAGUCAACUCUGGUUUUCCUUAGAAUUUCUGAAAUUUUUCCAAAAAAUGUCAUUAAGUAUCCUAUAUAAGGGUAGUAGAGUACUUUUGUAGCAAUAGGGGAGGUAUGUAUAAUUUUAAAAUAUUAAGGGGAUUUUUGUGUAAUUAUCCCCAUCAUUUAUCUUGGCACGAGGCAAAUUUUGAUAACUUUGAUCAUACAUUUCAUUUAUCAAGAUCUACUCUACUUCUAUUCUAGCCUAUUCCUAUUCUAAAUGGGGUCUAACUUGAACAAUCGGGAAACUAACGGCGACUGAACCACAAUCGAAUCAGAUGGGUGCACUAUGUACUCAUAUGGAUUUGGGAAGCCUAUUCCUAUUCUAAGGGAAGGUCCAAUUGGACCAAUCGAAAAAUUGACGGGGACUAAACAACCAUUAGACCAUAUGGGUGCACUAUGCACUCAUAUGGAUUUGGAAAAGUUACAUAUAAUAGCAAAAUGAUGAAAAUUAAGAUUUAAACUAUUGACCUCCCAUUCCACCAAAACUUAAGUCAUUGAUGGUGGCUAAUAGCCCAAACGGCUAUUGGUUACAUGCGAUCUAUUUAUAUAUGGGGCCAAAUCUUGCAUUAAGUGAUUGACUCACGUGGCAUGCUUAAUGCUGAAUGUUCAUUUAUCACAACCAUUGGUUUUAGAGGAUCAGGUCCUCACAAUUUCCAGUUGAAACUAAUUUGCCUCUAAGGUAUAAAUAGGUAGAGACAUAACGUAAAUAGAUUUAGACAAAGUGUAAAUUGGUAAUAUUUUUGUGUAAAAAAUAAGCAAAUGAUAGUAUAAAAUGAUUAUUUUAUCCUCAACUGGUCUGAAAUGGAAUUUGUGAGGCCCUUAUCCUGGUUAUUUUGGUGUAACCUUGCUGAUUAUCUAAAUUCACACAACUUUAAUAACUCGAAUGCUAUAACUAACUCCCGAGUCUUGAUCAAUGCAAAAUCGAUAUGAUGUACCCUUUUUCAUUAUGGGGUAGUAGGACGAUGGAUCAAAGAUUGUGUUUAGGAGGCUCGGAAUUUCAUUCUUGAGGAGUUGGAGAAUUUCCAUUUCCCCUUCACUCAUUGGGGGGGUCAAGGGGUGGAGGGGUUGCUUUGGUGAAGAAGGCAUGGCGUAUGGAGUUUGCGUUUUGAUAACAGAAUUGGAGUUGGACUGAUCGGUACCUGACCUUACCAAUAAUAGAAGAAGUUGAUACACAUUGAAGAUUUGUCCUAACAUGGAUGGAACACUUAGGUUUUGUUUGAUAAAAUUGCAUCUGAAUUCUGAAAUUUGAAUACUGAAAUAAUUAAUUUACUGAAUUUUAAACACUGAAAAGAAAUAUAUGAAUGUCUAAAUUUUAAUACUGAAACUAUUUAUACUGUUUGGUAAACAUUUAUAACUGAAUACUUAAUAAGUAAAUUGUACAAUUUUGCCCUUACAUCUUUUCAUCCAAAAAGGAAAUAGAACCUAUGAUUUAAUUAGUUUAAAAUUGUUAGAUAUGAAAAUGACAUUAUUUAUUUUAAAUCAAAUUAUAUAAAAGAUGAAAUAUAUUAUAUGAAGACUAUGGAGAAGAUUUGAAAGUCAUUAAAAAGAGAGAAAAAAAGAAGUAGAAAACCGUUAGAUAGAGAAUAUCAUAUUGUUUAAUUAGAUAAGGAUUUUGAAUAGAGAAUAUCAGGUUGUUUAAUUAAAUAAAAAUUUUGAACAUAAUUAACAAAUGAGAGUAGAUUUGGUAGAUAAAAUAAGAUAGUUAAAAUAAUUUUAUUGAUUCUUAUCAGAAUUAAGCAUUCAGUUACGAUUCUUGUGCUGAAAAAAAUGCGCACAAGUUCAGCAAAUGGAUUUUUAUUUAUCAAACACUCAAAACAUCUGAAUGUCUAAAAAAGUUCAGUUUCAACACUUUUUUAUGUUAUCAAACAAACCCUUAUUCUAUGCAAAAACUACAAAUACCAAAUAACCUUAGUUUCUUGCUCUAUGUGAAAACUACAAAUGCCAAUUAACAUUUUCAUUGAAAGCUACAAAUGCCAAAUAACAUUUUCAAUUUUUUUCGAGUAUUCUUGCUCUAUAACAUUAGUUUUUCAUUGAAAAAAUAGGGAUAAUUUUAGAAACUUCUCCUGAGAUUUGUGACAAUAUCAUUUAACAUCCUUGAACUUUAAAAAAUAUCACUUGUCUCCCCUAUAUUUAACUUUUUAUAGCAUUGUGAACCCAUUUCAAAAUAUAUUAUUAGAAAACUCAUUUGUGGGUAGAAAAUAUGAUUUUAUUCUAAUAUUGCCAUUUUGCUGUGUAUAAUUUUGUUAUCAUAAAUAAAUCUAAUUAAUCCCUUAACUUUUGAAAACUUGGCAAAUAUGAUUUUUUAAUUAGGAAUCACAAAGUAUUAACAAGGUUGAAAGACCUAUCAAUAAUUUUUGUGUCAUUAAUCUACAUAAGAAAUAUAAUAAAAAUUUGAACUCUAAAUAGUUUAGAAAACUCAUAAAAUUUACCCAACAAUUUUACAAUGAAGUAAAUAACAUUAUGCAUCUUGAAAAUGCCUCAAAUAAGUUUCUAAGUAUAUAGUUAAUAAUUUUAUCUUUUUUCAAGGUUUUUAGGCCAUUGAAAUGGACAAAAAACUUGUAAACAAUUCAUAAAUCCUUAAAUUCAUCCACAAACACUUUCAAAUUAGAAAAUAAAUUUUGCUUUGAAGAAACCUCAAAUGAGCUUGUAAACAUAAACAUUUUGUCUUUUUUUUUUUUGGUUUUCAAGCCAUUAAUCUAGACAAGAAAAUUGGAAAUUCUAAAAAAUUCCUCAAAUUGACCAAAAAUACUUUAGAAUAAUCGAAUAAUCUCAAAAGUAUUUUUUUCGGUAUGGUAAAAUACCUAUUAUUAUAUUGUGGUCAAAAUUAUGCAUUUGCACUAAGUGUCUUUGUUUUCAACCUUUAUGCUUUCAGUUUUGAAAAAUAAAAAGGACAACAAAGGAUUCUUUUAUUUGGAAUGAAAAUAUUGUCUUUAUUCGAAAAUGAAUUUUUAAAUAAUAUAUUUUAAAAUGGGUUGACAAUGUUACAAAAAGUUAAAAGUAAGGGAAACAAAUGAUAUUUUUUUAAAGGGGAGCAAAGCGGACUAUUAGAAACCUCAAGCGAGGUUUUUCAGAUUAUCCCUUGAAAAAAGCCCAAGAUAAUUAGGUUUCAAAAGCCUUUUAACUUUUAAAUUUGAAUUUAAAUCUCGUCCAACUUAUCAAAAUUAUUAUGUUAUUCAAAGAGUCUAAACUUUCUCUCUAAACCAAAUUUAUAGAUCACUAAAAUUUUAAAUCUACUAAUUUCUCAAGCAAUUGUAAUGGAGUUGAUAUCUUUGACUAGAAAAUAUACGACCUAAUCAUGACAUUAUAUCUAAAUUCACUCAAUUCUUGUUGAGAUGUUGGGACCAUGAAAAUGACAUGAUUGUGUUUUAUCUAAGGUUUACAAUCCAUCAGUUCGUAGUGUAAAAUGCAAUAACAUAACGUAGCAUGAAGCAUGAAGAAUGUUACAUUGCUCUACGAAUAUAUAAGAGUAACUGACCUCGUGUGACAAGGAGUAGUUGGUUAAGUGGCAUGUCUCAACAUGGACCGCUAAAAGCUUUCUCACAUCUAAAAUUUUAUCCGUCGAUAUUCCCUGCAGUAAAAUGUCAUUCAAUUGGUGCACUCUGGUAGUAUUAAACGGAAUUGGCAGAAGCCCAGAACUUGUACUUACCUUAAGUGUAACUUGUGAAUCCUCAGGUGUAUCUACUGUUAUUUCUAUAACUGUAGGCAAUACUGCAGUAAAGGCCAAAAAUGCUAAAAUUAAUCAAGAAUAUGCUAGUUAAUUGGAAAACCAAAAAAAAAAAAGAAAAAAGAAAAAAGAUAGAGGUUUGUUUAGUAUAUUUGUGAAGUAAUUGCAUUAUCAGCUGAUUUUGACCAAAAAAAAAAGGGGGCUCUCGACCAAUGACAAGACAAUGUUGCACUUUGAACCACAAGCAAAAGUGAAAAUAGGAACUCAACUUAAUGUAUUUCCUAUGCAAUUUUCUAGGAUAUUGAGAAGUUUUGGUUCAGAAAAUGUUUUGAGGUACUUGAUGCAAUUGUUCUUAUGAUGAGAGAGAAUACCAUGGCAUUAUGGUAACGUGGAAGUGAAACUAAGAAACCAAUUCAUUCAGUCUCAAAGACAACACUAGCGGGACAAGACAAAGAUAAGUAGAAUAGCAAACCUUUCUCUUCUUUCUUCUUCUUCUCUCCUUUAGCUUUGUGGGGCUUAGCCUUCCCACUUUUAGGAGCCAUUUUCUUCUUGAAAGAAUUGGAUUGCGAAUAACUUUUGUUUAGUUUACAACAAUCCUAUAAUCAGCUUUGCUUCACUACACAAUCCAUAAAACUUACGUUAUUACAAUAUAAAUUGCACUACAACCCCUUCUGUUGUUGUUGUUGUUGUAUGACAGCCACCAAUAUAAAUGCACAUAACCCAAAUUAGCUAAUGCUCAACUUUUCUGGGCCAAGCUAAAUAGUUCAAUUCAAGUGAAAUAACAAUAAGAAACGAAGUAAAAAAGCACAAUCAGUAGUUAAAAAUGCUUCAGAAGUUCCAAAUUUAGCUAGUCUGGAAGGUGCAAAUGCAGGUUUGUAAUGCUACAGUGUAUAGUUUUUCGUAGUAGAAGCGAACUUUGUUAUAAACAGAGACACCAUAAAGGAACAUAUACAGGGAAUUAAAAGUAUCUAGGAGAAGGGGGGCCAAAAAGAUAGAAAGAAAGAGGGAAAACUAGCCCUCGUAUUUGUUAUUGUGAGUUUUGAGAGAAGCAUAGGAUAAAAGAAAUGAGAAAUAGAAUGAGAAGAGAGUAAGAGGUGGAUAGGAUAAGAUGACCCAAAACCAUGGCACUUGUGUUUGUCACAACCAGAGGAAUGUCAGGUUGGCAAAUUGGAGCCUCUCAUUUCACUAACUGAUCAUUUAGACGUCUCUCUACAAUUUUUUUGUGCCUUUGUCAUUGGAAGAUUGGGUGAUAGAAGCUGCUGAAAAAAAAUUCAAGAAUGAGUUAUCUUCUUGUCAUUUGACCUUUUGCUAGAGCAUUUGGAAAAAGUACAAAUGGAGAAGUUAUUCAUUUUGGCUUGAUUUGAGAAACAGUAAGUGCUUAAUUGGAUAAAAUGAUGGACUUUUUGCGCUUAAGUUUGUGCCACGUUCAUAUCUACAUUUGUUGUUGGCCGAUAAGGAUAACUUUGUCCUAUUAGGGUAUUGAUGCAAUCGUGAAUUUGUUCGUCAGGAUAUUGAAAGUCUUAGAUCUAACAGGGUUUGCUUUUAGCUUAUUAAACUCAGUGGACCUAAACCAUGUAUUUGUUGAACAGUUUCAAGAAUCAAUAUUGAGAUAAUGCUUGAAAUUGUAGAAAUAAAUUUAUGUCAAAAUUGUUUAAAGCCAAUAAUUGAAAUGGUUAUCAUAGCUUCUGAUAGGAAGCGUAGCUCAAGGAAAAAAGUUACACAAAUAAUUUCCUAAAUACGAAUCGAAGAUUCGAAAGAAUGAGAAGGAAACUCUCUAUCUAUUGGAAUUUCUAAUGGAAAUAUAUGAUAGAAAUGAUAGUUGAAUGAAUAAAAUGCUUAAAAAUACCAAUUUAUAGGUUAGGUCUUUCACUAAAAUAUAUAUAUAUAUAUAUAUUGCGUAAAACAUAAAACGAAUUCCUAGUCGCAAACAAAUGCGCAAAGGAUCCGGCCUCGGAUCACAAGCCACAAAGGACUGGAUUUGAAACUGGAUCUGGUUGGCCUCAAGGAGCUAGGCUAUCCUCUCACGGUUCCCAUCCUCUCCCGAGAGGGACCACAAACUGGAUCAAGGUCAGAAACGACCUCACAUUCUGCCAUCGAACCGCGGGGCUUCAUUUCUUGUCCCACAAGCACUCCAUUUUUGCCCAAAAUUGAUUAGAAACGCGUUUUGUAUCAGUUUUGUUUUCGGCGUUUUUGAGCAUUGGAAAAUCGGUUGGAUCUAGGGUUACAAAUAAGUCGAAUCGAGUCAAGUUUUAGUUUAAAUAAAUUGAGUUUCGACUUAAUUCUAUCAAGUUUGACGAGUUUUUAAUAUAAAAUUCGACUUUGAACUCGAUUCAACUCAAACUUAACUUCAUGAAGUUCAAAAUUGAGUUCGAGUUUAAAAAAAAAAAGAAAAUAAUUAUUUUAUUUUUUAAAAAUGAAUAUAUAUAAAUGUAAUUUUGCUAUUAAAAAAGAUUUUAUAUAUAUAUAUAUAUAGCUGACUUGCAAGUUAACAAGUUGCGUAUCUUUGAAUUCGAUGUUGACCAAGUUCAAGUCGAGUUUUGACUCGAGCUACUUGCAAUCGGUUCACAAGCCAGUCGAUUUAUACACAGCCUAAUUGGACUAAUUGAAAGGCAAACUAUCACCAAGUUAGCUAAAUUUCCCAUGUGAAACGUGAAGACAGAUUUCAUUGUCCUUACUUAUCUCUCCAGCUAGCUUCAAGGACAAUUUUGCUUUUCGGUCAGCAAUAAUUUGAUCGAUCCAUUUUGUAAUGUUAGGAUUAGAGAAGAUCAGUCCUUGUUUCAUUUCCUCGUGAAUAAGAUAGAGAAAGUGCAACCUGUCAUUGCUGAGUUUGCUCUUCCAAAAACGGUAUUCAAGUAGAACGCUAAUUAAUUUCUUUCUAUCUCUGAAAAACAUGGUUCCAACUCUUUAAUGUGGAAUGCCUUAUAAUGCUUUAGGGGCUUCAACUUUAACACAGCCAAAUACCAAGCCAAAGGGCGUUAAAAUUGAAAGUUGGUAAUUCUCAUCUCUCCUGCAUUUAGUACUUUUCCUCUUCACUGCACAAAAAAACCAACUAAAACUCGAAAUUCUUGUCAGUUUCUAGAUUUUCUACAAAGACCAUUUGGUCCAUACAUCGUUUGAGUCAUAUGUUUUAGUAUCAUAUUUUCCCUUCAUUUCUUCACGAAAAUGUUAAACAAACAAAAAGUUUGCUGCUACUAAUUAUUUCCAAGUAGAAAGUGGACUUGUGCAUUUACAUGAUCUCGGUCAAGCAAUUGUGUAUGAUGACCUGAAUCUAUCUGGUCUGCAAGUACAAAGUUAGUCUAGUGAUGUGAAAUGUGUAGCACAAGAAAUCUUGGACCAAAAGGAUCACGCAAAAGAGCAUAAGAAGAAGCUGGGUGGAAUAAAGCAUCAGGAUGAAAAUGCAGCCUCACCCGUGUUUACUCAAGACUUCCACUGACAAACAUCAAACUUUUUUUUUAAAUUUUUCCCUUUAUUUCUGUUUUUAAUGUAAUUUCGUUUACUUUUGGGUUUAGAACUUCUUAGCUAUAUAUAGGAACAUAUGAGGGCUUAUUUAAUGAGACUUUUGACAUCAUUCUUGAAAUUCUUAAAACUUGAUGUGUUUGGGUUCAAUACCUAGAUUGGAUUCUUGUUGAAUCUGAAAAAAGUUCUAGUUGAAUUUUGGAUUUUCUUUUCAAAUCAUUAAGAGUCUUGUGCAUCAAAUCAUCAAGAGUUUUUAUAAAAAUGUGAUCAUCCAUUGUGGGAAAAUUCUGAUUUCUAUAUCCGACUUCCUUUCAAAAAGAAUGAGGAUAUAAAUCCCACAAAAGCUAGUCAUUUGGGAAUGAAUCCUGAAGAUUCCAAACUAGCUAAGCAAGAAUGUGUUGAACUCUUGAAAUUUGGUCUUAUUGAAAAAUCUGAUUCUUAGUGGGCAAGCCAAGCAUUUUAUGUCAACAAAAGAUCUGAGCAGGUAAGAGGAAAAAUGAGACUGGUAAUUAAUUAUCAGCCUCUCAAUAUUUUUCUCCUUGAUGACAAGUUUCCUAUUCCUAACAAAUUUACAUUGUUUGCCCAUAUUUCGCAAGCUAAAUGGUUUUCAAAAUUUGAUCUCAAAUCUGGAUUCUGACAGUUGGGAAUACUUCCAGAAGAUAGGCACAAAACUGGUUUUUGCAUUCUAAAUCAUCACUUCCAGUGGAAGGUGAUGCCUUUUGGUUUAAAAACAGCACCAUCACUUUUUCAAAAGGCCAUGAUCAAAAUCUUUCAGCCUAUUCUUCAUAUUGCACUUGUAUACAUUGAUGACAUACUUCUUUUCAGUAAUACUUGGGAAGAACAUAUCCAAUUGCUUAAUGAUUUUCACAAAAUUGUUAAGCAAUAUGGUAUCAUGAUUUCUGAAAAGAAAAUGAUUUUGAUAAAACAAGAAAUUCAAUUUCUUGGCAUGAAAAUUUCUGAAGGAUAGUGCACUCCUGAACAACAUGUUGGACAAUCAGUUGUAAAUUUUCCAGAAAAAGAUUUGUCAAAAACACAAGUUAAACAGUUCCUUGGAGUUGUAAAUUAUGUCCGAGAAGUCAUUCCAAAAGCUGCUAAGCAUAUUAGUCCUCUGACUAAAAUGCUUAAGAAGAAACUACCCCUGUGGGGACCAUCUCAGACCAAAGCAAUCCAAAAUUUGAAGAAAGAACUUCUUUGUCUUCCAACCUUGUACAUUCCCUCUGAUGGCAAGAAGAUUUUACAGACUGAUGCCAGUGACAAAUACUGGGGAGCUAUCCUGCUUGAAGAAGAUAACAGGGACAAAGACAUUGCUGUGGAUUUGCAAGUGGAAAGUUCAAAAUUUCAAAACAACAUUAUCAUUCCACAUUCAAGGAAAUACUUGCAGUAAGAAAUGGAAUUAAAAAAAUUCUCUUUCUUUCUUAUAUUUCAUCAUUUCUUGGUUGAAAUAGACAUGGGAUCAUUUCUUAAGAUGCUGCACUUUAAACAAAAAAUCAUUCCUCAUCCACAACUACUUCGUUGAUCAGCAUGGUUUUCUCAAUAUUCCUUUGAUAUGAAACAUAUCAAAGGAAAAAAGAAUGUUGUAGCUGACUUUUUCUCAAGAAAAGAACCAAUUGAGCCAAAAGAAAUUUCAACUUGUUUCAUGUUCACGCCAGUUUACUCAGAACCCCCAAAUAUUCAUGAAAUUCCUUAUCCAUGGGAAAAAGAAGACAUAGAAAGAAUCUGAAACCAAUAUGAACUAUAAGUUUUUAGUUCAUAUGGAGGAUCAAUCUUAAGUCCCUUCGGAACAAAUCCUGAAUAUCCUUUCUGUCAAAUCUUCAUAGACAACCCUCAUGAUUUUCUCAAACCAUUGCUAUACUAUUUUUGGUGUUUAUGCCAUCAAUAUCAUAUUCCAAUGAAAUUUCAGAGUCCAUUCUUUAAUCAACCUUUAAAUCUGAACCUUCAAAUUUUUCUGCAAUGAUUUAGGCCAUUAACCUUCUGGUCCGGAUUAUUCUCAACAAAUUCCAAUCAUGUUAUCUUUCAUUUUCAUAGACCAAGUCAUUUGCUCAAUAACCAAAUCCAUUCUCUUCUGAGUACAGUCAUUUAUAAAGAAAUGUCUCAUACUAUUUUAGACCUUGAAUAUGAGUAUGAGGAAGCAUAGAGAUACAUAUUUCAAGAAAAUAGAUGCAUUCCACCAGAAAUUUGGUCAGGACAUUAUGGAUCAUGAAACUAUCAAACUAGUCAUCCUCACUGAACUAGAGCUCAAAAAGCCAAAAAAAACAGUAUCAAGAUGCAAUAAAUGACACAAUAAUGACACAAGUCAAUCAGAAACUGGUCCCUUCACAUCUUCUUAUGUCCAUAAAAAAAAGAUCAGAAGCAAGUAGACAGCUGAACAACAAAAGGAAUAGGAGAGCACAUGAAGAUUUCAUUGAGAUGUACAACAUCACUGAUCCAGAUACUACUCCUUCGGAUAUCCCAGAUGAUGACAAUUAUUGGUGUGUCUAGUUGUCACAAGUCAUGUAGGCUCCAGUAAUAAAGAAAGUUGUCUGUAACUUUCUUGAAGAGUCAUUUGCAACCUUUACUUUUCUGAAGGGUCAUUUGUCUUUUGUGUUCUUGAAAGGUUGUCUAUUACCUUUCACCAAGAGUCAUUUUACUAUUUGCUUUUUGAAAGGCCAAGUAUCCGUGACUUUCUUGAAAGGUCACUUUAUCUUGUAUAAAUAGAUUACUCUUACCAUUUGGAAGAUCAUCGACUAUCUAGCCUUGAAUAAUAUCUGAAAGUUUUCUCUAAAAAUGGCAGCUUAAACUCUUUAAUUUUCCCUUUGGGAAGGUCGAGAUCUCUAUGAAGGUAACCAGACUCUGAUCUUGUGAUAAAAGUCCCUUGAACUGUUGAAAGCCCAAGAAAGGGAGACUGUUGUGUUCGAGAAUACCUUCAAAAAUUGGAGCUGGCUACUCUGAGUUUGGUAUCAAAGCCAGACCUAAAGGGAAAACUUUCAUCAUUUAUAUCUGUUUGUUUAUCUAUCAUCUAUCUAUGAAUUCAUCAUAUCUUGUAAACCCUGAUCCUUAUAAUUUUGCUGAUAUUCCUUCUGAUUGGUAUUGUCGUGUUUUUCAACAGGUGUGGAAGGAAACCCCAAUCUUUCAAUUUGAGACACUCAGUAAAGUAGAAUUAUUAGAAUAUAUAAAUAAGUUGCAAGCUGAAAUAUUAGAACUUUUAGAGUAUUUGCAUCUUUUUUCAUAUCAAAGAGUCAGUAGACAGGUUAUCAUAGAUUAUCUGUGGUAUCGUAUUUUUCUGAUAAAUAGUGCUGAUGAUUUCAAUAGAAUAGAUUAAAUUUCAAUAUCAAAUAUGAGUGCUUCUACUUCUAGUGAGCUUGUGUUAAAUAAAACUAAUAGUAAUAAAUUAGAUUAUCUGUAUGAAGUAUCUGUUGAAUCAGAGGUAGUUAAUCAUACCUCUUUACCUGUUAUUAAUCCCUAUUCUGCUUUUAGAAAACAACAAUUUUCACCAUUAAAAGCUAUUAAAUCCCUGAUCAAGCACCAUCCAAAGGGCAUAAAAGAAUAUAUCCAAGUUUCAAAGGUGGAUCAACAACUUAUCCUUGCUACUAAGAAGGAACAAUUCAUUACCCUCUACAUUCAUCCAAAAUUUCCUUCUCAAUGGAAACAACAAGGGUUUACCCAUAUCCACUUUGGUGCAAUCAGGUUUUCUUUAUCCUUUCAUGGUAGAAAAGGACUACCUAUGGUGGCUCGCAUAGCUUUGCUAGACACCGGAUUCACAAAGUACCAAUAUGCUUGUAUAGCAACUGUGAAAACUAUUCUUAAUGUUGGAACUGUUUUUGUGACCCUUUUCUCCAAUUUUAACAUGUCUCUGUCAGACCCUCAUUUGCUUGAUGCUCUCAAGGUUCAGGUACAAAUAAUAGAAGCAGAUCAGGCAACAGAUGUUAUUGUUGCAACCCUCUACUAUCAUAUGGUGUACAGGGUCCAAAACCUUGCACUGGGAUCUAACAAUUCCUGGUGGAAAAGAAGUUCUUUUCAUUCGUGUUGAUGAGAAAAAUUCAGCUUCCUGCACCCAUGUUCUCCGACAGAUCUCAAAAUCAGAGCUAAUUCAAUUAUUACCUGAUAAUUGGAUUACUAAUUAUGAGUCCCUACACUCUCAACCAAAUGAAUCCAUUGAGUCUUCAAACUCAAAAAUCUCCUAAACCACUGAAGGGAGAAUUUCUAUUACUUUUGAUCAUUCUCAUUUAAAGCCAAAUCCAAAGAAAUCUCAUCCUGCUGUUAUGCUUGCAGAGAUUCCUAUGGAGUUACCAACUGAAGAAGGAAAAGAACUAGGUGCUUAUGAUGAAAACUGGGAAAGAUGCAACCUUCAAGAUAUUAUUGCCUAUUUUAACAAGGAAGGUCAACCAGUUCAUCAUUUUCAAGAUCCUAUUUCUGGACAUAUAUAUUUUGAUGUAUGUAUCAGAUAUCAUGAAUGCUGGGAAAAUUCUCUUAUCGAUGAUGAUUAUUCAUCAUUCUCAAAGAAGAAAAAGAAAAAACAACUAGUUGAGUAUAGGCCAUGCAAGCUAGAUCUUGAACCAUAGGACCCUGACUCUAACAACUUCAUGUCAGAAAGAAGUAGCUUCGAUGGCUACCAAAUUCCAUCUUCAUGGAUCUCUCUAGAACCACAGGUUCCCAAACAAGUCCUUCAUCCUUACUAUUAAAAGUGUCUAGAUAUUUUGGAAAAGGAGGCCAAGAAAGAAACAAAGAAAGUAAAACAAGAAUGGAAGCCAAAGCCAGUACAACCAUCAAAAUGUCUGUACCAAAAGCCUAAGGAACCUCUUCAGCAGAUCUUCAUGUUCAAUGAAGAAGAUUUCCCCAAGUUAGAACCUUUUGCUAAAAAUGGUUCUAGACAUGUCCCAAAAGUUCAGAAUGCUCAUCCUAAAGUUCUCCCAAUAGGAGAAACGAUCAGAUCUAGUCCUACUGAGAAGAUUCUGAAUUGGCAGACUAAAAAUUUCUUGGUUCAAAAUACCGCUUUGACAUCCAUUCAUAAGAAUGUGACUGAGGUAAAAGGAAAAAUUGAUCAUAUUGCUACUGCAGUCAAAACUCAAAAUUCUCAAGUAUCACAUAUGAUUGAAGUUCUCAAAAAAAGGUUUGAAAAUUUGAAAUAUGAAUUGCCUUCACAUUCUUCAUCUUUGGCUAACUUUGUUUUGAAUCUGGAAAAGGAAACUCAUUUCAUCAAAAAUCAGAUUGAAACUCUCAGGACUACAGGUAAGGUUCCUGACUUUGAUGUUGGACCAAUUGAACCACCUGUACCAAAGGUAAGUCCAGGUUUUGGUGCCACUCCUAUAAGAAAUUGGCCAAAUCUUUUUUACUUUGGUGGUGUAACUACACCUAAUCCUUCUGUAUUCUUUCCAACUCAACAAGAACAGACUCCUCCUCCUUUUGAUAUUGCUAAAGUAUUACGAGAAUAUCGUAAGAACAAGCAAAAAUAAAAAGAUGAAGAAAAGGAAAGAAAGAAAGCUGACGAAGAAAUGAAAAGAAAAAGAAAAAGAAAUUGUUCAAGAGCCGGAUAGUUCAUUGAUGUAUACAAAAAUACAUACUAAUCCUAUAUUUUUUCUUGAACAGGAAAAGGAAGCAGAAAAGACUACCAGAAUUUAUGACAAUCCUUUAUCAUCCAUGUUGGAAGAACUACUUCAGGAAUCAGUGCCAUACAUUUCUACUUAUGACCAGUUGGAAAAAGAUUCAAAAGAAUCUAAUUCAAUGGAAUCAGAGCAAGAAUCUGAAUCAGAUGAUAGUCAAACUUCAGAAGAAUUUGAUGAAAUGACAUCUUCUGAAGAAGAAGAAAUACCGGUCAUAAACAUGGCUACUGAGGCAGAAGUAGUACAUCCUGAUGAUAAAGAAGAUAGUGAAGGAGAAGUCUGAAAUGCUUCCAGGACUCAGAGGACUACUUUUUCAAAAACAAAGGGAGUUCAAAUUUUUACUAUUACUAUUGAUGAUAUCCCAUCAGGAAAAUGGGAAGCAAGAUUCCAGGAUUUUCAUGCUUGGAUGAUUAUCCAGAAUCUUACAGAAGAAUCUCAUUUUGAAAUCUUGUCUAACUUCACUGCUCAUUUUUCAGGAAUCCUUAAGGAUUGGUGGUCGAGUUUAGCAAAGCAGGACAAGAUGUAUUUUUUAACUCGCCAAAAUUUCUCUGAAAACAUCAAUAUUCUGCAUUUAAUGUUUAUUAGAGAUGUGAAAAAGAGCAAGGAGACAAAAAGAAAAGAAAUGAAAUAUUUUUCUUAUGAUUGUAAAGAUAUUAAUACACAUUUCAAAAAGAUGACUAAAUUAUUUUUUGCUCUUGGUGCAUAUAUUAAUCUUAAACAAGCUUUUGUGAGUUCACUUCCGAAAUCUCUUGCUGAUGGAGCAGAAAUGUAUAUCCAUAACAAAUAGGGAUCUAUCUUGAAUUUGAAAUAUGGAUCUAUCUUGAAUUUGUCUGCAGGACAAAUUAAGCAGGCAGUGCUCUUAUCCUUGGAUGAUCUUUGCAACAAAAAAAAAGUUAUUCAAGAAUAUCUCAAAGGAGAUGUUUGCCUAGAUCAAUCUUGUAAAAAGCCUGAGUUAAUUACAAAAGGGAAGUGUCAAGCAUGUGCUCCUCACAAAGGUUGUGAUAGAAGUCAGUUUGCCGAUUUCUGGAUUUAAUGUGAGAUUUUGGUUAAUAUUUGGACCAUUUGCUGAUGAAUGUUGGGCGUCAUUCCUUUUUCUUAGAUUAGUUAAUUUGGAAUUGAAGGAGUUUGUAGUUUAGAAACUAACCAGGGUGAUGUUUCUCGGAUUUUGAUCACUGGUGCUUGAUAUAUGGUUUUUCUUGGUAUUUUGGCAAUAUGGUAGAUAGAGCAAUAGCCAUUGUCAAAUAUUGGUGUUUGUUUACUGUUCUUAUGUUUGAGGACAAGUAUGGUUUAGGUGUGGGGGGAAUUGAAAGGUUGCAAUUUUAUCAUUAAUUUUAUUAUUAAUUUCUCCUAUUACCUAAUUCAAUGUGGAUUAAUUAUUAGAUUCUAUUCACUUUUGACAAUUCGCAUUUAUUUCAGGGAGUUGAUCGAAAACACCAUAACAAGUGCCAAUUUAGCAAUCAUCAGGAAAGAGUUCGAGUAGCAAGUAUCCAGGGGCAUUUUUGAAACAAGAAGAUGCGGACCCUUUUUGGUAAUUUGUGGAAGACAACAUUGAAAAAGAAGAAAAGGUUGGAGUCUUCGGCUGGAUGGGGGGCGGCCGCACAGUAGCAGUAGGCUACUUAGAUACGAAAUGGAGAUUGCAGAGAACUAGCUCUAUCUUUAGCUUUUGACUUUUCUUCGUUUCUUUAGCUCUGAGUAGUUUUUCAUCUUCUUGGUAUGUAGGACUUUUAGCUUAGCAUUUCUUUUGACUCUUCCUUGGAGUCUUGGGUGGAUUCCUCCUGUGCAUGUCAGGAGCCCUUGGAGUAUUCAAUCACUUUCUAUAUUCUUUUACCAAUUGAAUGAAUUGAACCCCCUCGACCAAGGACAAUGGCUGUGACUUUUACUUCAAUUUUGCAUGGGUUUUUUGUAUCAAAUAUGAACUAAUUCCCUCACUCUAGUCAAGGAACAACAGAGACUUUGGUUCGCCUAAAAAUUGUGAGAUCGAUCUAAUUUUAUCAUUUUCUUUUAUUUAUUGGUAUUCACAUAUUUCUUGUUUGCAUUGCUUGUGAUUAUUUAAUUAAUUGAUUAUUUUGGAUCCGAAUAAUUAGUUAAUUUUGUAAUCUAUUGUCAAUUAGGGCAUUAAAUUCGUAAUUGCUUAAUUGCCUUGAAAUAGUGACAACUGGCAUGAUUAGAUUUGUGUCAGCGGUAUAUGCGGGCUAAUCUCAAAUAACCCUGGUAGUGCGUUAUUUGGUUAGAGUAGGGCUUCUCUAAUACGUAAGGCAAUUGGAAAAUUAAAUCUUAUGGGCGUACCUAGAAUUAUUUUCCAAUUAGGGCAGUGAUUAACGGGCGUACCUUAAUCACCGAUACAGUAAGGAGGGGUUGACUGUCAUCGCUUGUUUGGCAGUUAUAACCUAUUUAUUAAUAAAUAAUUGGAAUUGCUUGUGCAUCGAUGAUCAAUUAGGUGAACCAUUAUUGAAGUUAUUUCUUGGCUAGACCUUUAAUUAUUGUUACUCUAAUUUUAGUGAAUUGUCAUUUAAUUUCUAACUAGCUAUUUAUUUUUAUUUUUAUUUGAAUUUCUUUGAUUGUCUUCGUUUACACAAAAAUACCCCUUGUGUUACUUUGAAUUCUUAAGAGGCAAAUAUCCCCAAUCUCUGAGGAUACGACCCUACUUGCCCUGUCUACAAAUUCAUAAUUAUUUGUGAAAAAAGUCAUCCCAUUCGGGUAUAUCGGAUCAAGCAAACUCUUCGAGAAUAGGGUGAAUCAAGUACCCUAUUGCACAUCUAGAGUCCCUACUCCAGUACUUGGAAUCGAGUUUUGACUAUUUUAACUGGCAAUUAGGUUUAUUUUUAUUAUUGUACAGGUUUCGAUAACCUGUCAAUUUUUGGCACCGUUGCCGGGGACUGAUGCCAGAUUAAUUUGUUUCUUUUUAAGUUCAUCUUUUUUUCAUUUUUUAUUUAUUUUUCUCUUAUUUUUUUAUAUAGUUUAUGGCUGCUAACAUUCAGUACUUUGAUGAUAGAUUAGACUUUAUUCCUGAAUGGGGUUAUGAGACUUAUGUUUUUCCUAAUGAUCAAUGGGUUGUUACAAAUUGUGGAACUUAUUUUGCCUCAGGUUAUUCAACCGACACAUGCCCCGUAUUUCAAGAUAAUCUAAGUGCUCCAAUUGAUACUUUUGGAGAUUUUCCACCUCGAUUUCAAACGUGGUAUUGUUGACCUUGAUCCCUAACUUUUGAUAUUUACAAAAUAAUGGAUAAUAUUAAUAUCUAUUCAAGAAAUACUUUCAGUUAUGAAGUAAAUUAGAUUCAAAAGAUCAAGCGCAAUUGAAAAGGACAAAGGCUGCUGAAAGCUGUCGGACACUUGUGAAAUCAGGAUUGGACAUCCGAUACUCAUUGCGCAACUUCGAACACAUGAAGAGCUCCAUCACCGGACGUCUGAAAGAAUUAAGACAUUCCACCUAGCUCACUGAUCUCUUUCAGAUGCAAGUACCGGACGUCCGAUAGAAUUGAAGAAAAUUUCUCAAACUCACUACCUGCUGUCGGACGCAAAAAAUAGGAGUACCGGACGUCCGACACUCCCAACGGCUAGUUGACUCUUCAACUACUUUCUAUUCGUUGAAAGUAUUAAUGAAGCACUUUCUUGAUUUCCUAUAAAUAGAGUAUGGUCAGAAACUCCAAAUUACUUUUGCACACUGAAGAUAUAAAAGAUCUUAAAUAAUUUUAGUGAGAAAACACUCUCCAAGAAAGAUUUGUAGUCUUAGUGAUGUGGGGUUCAUUGUAAGUUUUUCAUUUGUGAGUGAAUAUUUCAUGAAUGUAGCUCUGUGAGGGUUGUCUUGAGGGAUAGUAAAACUUCCUAAUUUGACCGAAUAGAGUUCGGGACAAGGAGGAGGUAAACCUUCCUUUGUACACAAGAGUGAUUGUAAUUUAUCAACUUGAAGAAGUUUGUUUAAAUUAAUCUACAAGCUCAAGAGGAGUUGAGUAGUUAAUUGGUUUGCAAUUCUUUCCUUUUUAUUUACUUAUUGAUACGUUUGUGAUUUUUACAUUGCUUAUCUCUUCUACUUCUCUCAAGUGAUUUUGUUCAUUCAUUAAUUGAUUCAUUGUGUGAUCACUUAGAAAAGAGGGUAAAUUUCAUAUUGAACAAAAAGUACCCAUAACUUGAUUAACUUUUUAAUCAAUCUAAUUCACCCCCUCUAAGGUUGUCUUCGAUCCUUACAAUUGGUAUCAGAGUUUGAUUUUCUAGAGAUUAACCUCAAGCAGCUUAGGAGUAAAAAUGACAACCAAUAAUGUCAUAUUUUUUAAAGGACAUUCUGUGAUUAGACCGCCUAUAUUUAAUGGGUUAAAUUAUGUGAGUUGGAAAGAAAGAAUGGUUAUAUUUUUGCAAUCAAUUGAUAUUGAAUUGUGGUUUAUUAUUAGUGAAGGUCCAUAUGAUACCUCUCUUAUAGAUGAAAAUACUCAUAAAUCUAGACCAAAAACUAGAAAUGAACUGACUGCUGUGGAUAGAGCUCAUCUUAUCUUAAAUGUGAAAGCCAUGAAUGUGUUAUAUUGUGCUUUAGAUUCAAAUGAAUCCAUUAGGGUCAAAGGGUGUAAGUCUGCUAAAGAAAUUUGGGAUAAACUUAGAGAAGUCUAUGAAGGAAAUGAGAAUGUGAGAGAACAAAAGAAGUCUAUUCUGGUUACCAAAUAUGAAUCGUUCAAGAUGGAACCUCAUGAAAACAUUGAUAAGAUGUGUUGUAGAUUCAAUGACUUCAUUAAGGAUUUAGAGGUGCUGGAAAAGGAAUACUCUCUAUGUGAGAAAAAUAGAAAAAUUUUGAAUGCUUUAUCAAAGGAUUGGGAGAAUAAAAUGACUGUCAUUGAAGAAGUUAGAGAUCUAAAUUCCUUACCUAUUGAAUCUCUUAUUAAUUUUCUAAUUUCUUAUUGUCGCGCCCCAUUUUUUAAUAAUAAAUAAGAAUGAUAAGUGAAUGAAGUAUGGUUUGAAAAAUGGUGAUGUGUGUGAAAAUGAAAGGGAAAGGCCAUGGGACUUUGAAAUGCGACAUUUUGGCCAAAAAUAGUAAUCUAAAAAGGUUUUGGUAAAAUGUAGGAGUCGCACUUGGUAUUGAAUUAGGGUGUACCAAGUCACCCAAAAAAUGUGGAUUUAAAUGUAAAACCUUUUUAGAUUGACUCCAAAAUCUACGAUAAAUCAGAGAAAAAUGGUCCGGGGGUCACAGUUGAAAAGAGGGAAGGCAAAGACAAUGUCUAAGGCAACAUCUCAAUCUAACUUAAGUUAGUUGCAUGAUUUAGUCAUGAUUUUCCUAAUUUCUAACCAGAAGAUGUAUCGCAUUUGGAUGUAACUAAUAUGAAUGCAUCCUAAACCUAAUGAGGAAUCCAAAGGGACAAAUAUCUCUUAGAAGCUCGAACAGACUAAAUCACAUGAGUUGUGAUAGCCAAGGAUAACCCCUCCAAGAGGUCACGAGUAAUGGUAAUGACGAAAAAAUGAAUGGAACGAAUGUAUGCAAUGUGAAAACAUGAGCUUGUGUGAAGUGAAAAAAGUAAUAAUAAAAAUAAUUGUGUGUAAGUGGGAAUGUGCAAAUGGGGGUGCAGGGUGAGGUAUGUAAAGUGAUGGUAUGAAGUGCAUGUGUGCUCAGUGGUAGUAUGUAAAGUGUUAGUGAUAGAGUGAGAAUGUGUAAGAUAAGAGUCAUGUGAAGUGAACAUGUGAAAAAAGUAAUAGUAUAUGAAGUGAGAGUGCAAAGUGAUAGUGAGUAAAUGAAAUGUACGAAUCCUAAAGGAAUGCAAACAAAACGGGUACGGGGAGACCCUAAAUCGUGACUUUUGCUUUUCCUUUUGGUUAGACAAAGAAUGAGCGUGCUAAGGCUGUGUGUAGCCAAACUCGUCCAUUCCCCUUACCAGAAGGGUGACUCUCUAAACUAAUCAGGCAAAUGACCCUAAUAACUAGAAUGAAAUGCAACAAAUCCUAAAGAUCAUACUUAGAAUGUGGGAAAGGGGAAAGGAUCAUGCAAAAAUGUAAAAAUACUAACAAAUGCAUGAAAAUGUAGUGAGGGCAUGCGAGCAUGUACUAGCGAGGGAUGGCCCUAUUGGGUCUAGCAUUGAACUAACCCUUUACUAACGCUCUCUCACAAGCAUUGGACUUGUGAGCGAUCGGGAAUAAAUAACCAUGACUAGCAUUGGAUUAACCACGGUAACGUGCAUUCCAUCCACAUAAUCAGAUAUAAUACCAAAAAAAUAAAUAGGCAUGCCAAGCACAUAGUUUCACAUAGCACAUAGCACAUAAGCAUGCUUAUUUAGAUGCAAAAGCCUAGGGAAAGCAAUUAAACACAUAGCACCUAAGCAUGCAAAUCACACAAGCGAAUAAAAAUCCUAACUAUUAGAGGGGGGCCUACUACAAUUUAAAGGGGGAAAUGAAAAUAAAUGAAUAAAAUAAAUACCUAACUAUUACAACUUGGCAUUCAAGCCUUUCAAAUAAUAAAAUCCAAGCUUGAAAAUAAAUAUUCAAAACUUGAAACAAAUAAAACAAAUAAAUGAAAUAAAACAUUCAAGAGGCAUGUAAUUAAGCACAUAAAGUUACAUAAGGGCACAUAGAAAGUCAAAUAAGUAAAAAUAAGGGAUAGAGUGUACCUUCCUUGAAUUGGGGCCCCAAAUAAAGUGAAAUGACUUAUUUACCCUCCAAAACAAUAAAAAUGUCAAGGUACCACUUUAAUUAGAAAAUGAAAGAAAAUGUCCAAACACGAGCUCGCGUGGUCAUAAAGCCCUUAAAAUCAUGAAUUAAGUGCAAUUUAAACAAAGCAUGGUAGUUAAUUGAAGCAAACAAGCAAUGAAGUUGCAAAAUUAAGGCUGCCAAGGACAAAAUUGAUGAAAUUAUUCAAUUGAUUGGGUCAUAGUAGCAUCAAGGAGGCUUGAGGGGUUAAAAGGCAAUUUUUUAAAAGUAUUUUGGCAUGCAUGCAUUGAAGACUUUCGGCCAAAUGAAGUCACUUUGUUUUUACCAUUUCUGCUGCAAUAUAAUGGGUUUCUCAGAUGCAAUCCUAAAACAACUAACAUCUCAUUCAAUCAAUCAAAGCUAUCGACAUUAAUUAAAGAUCACCACCGAAUUCAAUAAGUCAACAACUUAGAAUGAGGUAAUGUAAAAUCCAGCAACCUUUCAUGCAAAGUGACGUGUGAAACAUUCUGCAACAAGGUUUCACAAACUUAUGAAGCUUUCGGCAAAAGACUUCAAACCAAAUCUACUAAAACCGUUGCUCAACACUCGUUGUUUAUCAACCCAAAUUCACGUACCUCCACAAAUUCUUAAUUCAAACAUGGUUGUUCAGCUUUAAUGAAUCCCUCAGAUAGAACCCGAGCCAAGAAAACAAAGACAAAACAGUAAAAUGCAGCAAAGGACUCCAGCCGAAACUUCAUUUCGAGCAACUGGAGUCCUUUUCUCUUAAUGCAAAUAGUCACAAUGGAUUCACAGUAUUGCACCAAUUCAUCUUUUAUUAUGUUCUUAACUGGCCCAUGGACAACACAUUCCGAACACCGAAUGAAAACAGGUCAUGGCAAAAUUGAUAAACUCAUGAAACUUUGAAACUUCAACAACUUCCAGUCACAAGCGCAGCAAAUGUGACUUGCACAGCUAUUAAAACUCGACCAGAAAAUCAAGGAAAGAAAAAGUUCUGUAGCAUUGCUGUAAUAUCUCAGCCCAACAUAAAUCAGAAAAUAGACAACCCUCUUCAAACGCAGAAACCAGACAGGGAGCUGAAAGGGUUAGAUGGAACAUUACAAGAACAAGACAUAUUCGGACUGUGAAAAUGCAAAUGAAAUGCAAGAAAACAGCGAAAACCUCCUUUUAUUUCAUGCACUUGAAGGGCCAGUAGCCAAUAUGAUGAACAAUCAUCAACUUGAUGAUGGACUUCAAUACAAACAGAAAUAAAGGUCAUGCAAAUCGGGAAAACUUUCUACAACUUCCUCGAUAUUCUUAAUCAAGCUCAGAAAACAGCAUUAUCCAUCUUGUUAUGAGCAAAAUAGAUUAUGUAAAAGGUCAAACCACUCUAAUGAGUCUAGACCACAAACCAAAACAUGUAUCUAUCCACUUGAAACAAACUAAACCUGAUAGCCUAAGUAUAACGAAUACAAGGCAACAUGGAGAAUGUCAAAACCCCAACCCCCUUCUUCUACUUCCCCCAGACCCAAUAUUAUAACCCAAGACCUCCAAACAUUACCGCAAGUUAAACAGGAAACACUGCCUAAGAUUUCAUGUCAUUUUCUGAUUUUGUUCAUACAAUCACAUGCGGGUCAGCCAUGAACAAUAAACAAACGUUUCGCGCAUUCAUCAUAUAACCCCACGAAAGAAAAGACAAAGAACAACCCAAAACGUAACAGCGAAGAUCUCAACAUUUCUGAGCCAAAUCUGAUGGUAUUUGACGGGUAAGGAUGAAGAUAUUACCUUAAUCACCAAGUGAGGCAAGGGAUGAUCAAGAAAAGGUUCAGAUGGUUCUGCUAGAGCUUAAAAGGAAUGCCAAUGGAAAACGAUGAUGAUGAUUCAGUCACCUCCUUGCAACCCCAAACCAGACUCUCUCUUUUUUUUGAUGUCUUCUCUCGUUUACCGUCACCUCUGUCUUUCCUCCUUGCUCUAUCUUAGUUGUUACUCGCUCUCCGUCUCUAUGAAACCUUCCUCUAAGCCCGUAGUUCUCUCCCUUUUUUCCCUUAGUUUCCUCUCCAUUUCUCUCCUAGCCGCCAAACCUAUCUGCUAUCAUCAGUCGUCCUCUCCCCUCUCUCACCGUAACCCCCCCUCUUUUCACUUUGCUGCGGCUGUGACCCUUUUAUCGGGAACUCGGCUCUCUAACCCUCAUUUAAAGGGCUCCCCAAGAAUCCUCAAUUCCUGCCUUUUCUUUUAGCCAUUGGAUCCUUUCCCUUCUAGGUUACUCCCGCAUGCUUCUUUUCUUUUCUUUUUUCUCUUUUCUUUUUUUUUUCCAAUGAAUCGGUUAAUCAAUAAUAAACAAAAAUAACGAAAAUAACAAUUUAGGUAAAAUCGAAUAAAAUGAACAAAAACUAGGAAUAAAAAGAUAAAACCAACAUGCCAAAAUUUUUGUGCUUGAUUGAUGAUUUUCUCUCUUUUUUUUUUCUUUUUUUUUUUGAAUUAAUUAAUAAUAAUAAAACAAUUUUCUUAAUAGAAAUAAAAAUAAGAUGAGCAGAAAAUUAAAACCAAAUCAACUUAAUAAGAUAAAUAAAUACAUAAAAUAAAAAAAGUUAAAAUUUUGGUGUCUACACUUAUGAGUUAAAACUUAAGUCCAAAGUGCAAGAGGAAGAGGAUGCGAAAAUAAGAAGGAACAUUGCUCUAAAGGCAUCUCAAGAUAAAGAUGAUUCUGCUUCUCUAGAUGAAAAAGAUGCGGAAGCUGAUGAUAGUGAUCCAGCUCUCAUCACAAAAAGUUUCAUGAGAAUUCUCAACAAACGAGGGUUCAGAAAAAGAGGAAACAACAACACAUUCCCAAAUCAGUUCAGCAAUUUAAGAAACAAAGAGAAGCAAGAGUUCAAUAAAAUGCAAACUGAUAAAUGCUUUGAAUGCGGCCAACCUGGACACUACGUGAGUGAGUGUCCAAUGAAGUAGAGAAAGUUGAAAGAAAACCAAGAUUCAAUAACUUUCAAUUCACAUGGAAUGAGUGCAACUCCGAUAGUGAAAGUGAAGAGAAAGAAGAAUCUGCUCAAUUGGCUUUUAUGGCCAUUGGAGAUGAUGAGGUAACAACUUCUAAUUUUCAAUUUGAAAGUGAUGAUGAUCUUGAAUCUUUCAUUAUAAAAUUGCAUGAUAGUUUGAAAGAAUCUUAUGCUAGAAACAAGAAAUUAAAAUAUAAAAUCGGCCUUCUUUUUCAGAACAAUGCACGUUUUUUUCAAGAAAAUAAAAAGCUGAGAACUGAAAGUGAUUUCUUAAAAAAGAGUGAGACUGUUUUACUUUUUGAGUUUGAUAGAAAAACAAGACUUUGUGAAAUGUUCAAAAAGGAAUAAGGUGAUUUGAAAAAAAGAAUGAAUAAUUUAAAUGAGUUGGUCCAACAUAAAAAAUAAGACAGUUUUUAAGGUAAUAAAUCAAAACCUCAUUUUGGCACUUAUGAGAAGAAGAUAAAUUCUGUUACAAAUGAAUUUGCUAUUUAUAAGAGAAGACAAGUAAGAUUUAUUAAACAUGUUCAUGUAAAUAACUCUUUGGUUAUGUGUAAUUUUUGUUGUCAAAAAGGUCACAUGAAAAGUGAUUGCUAUGUGAAAAAAAACAUGAGAAGAGGUAUGAAAUGCAUGUGGAUAGUUAGACAUGAUACUGACUCUAAUAAAUAGUAGAUAUUGGUAAAAUUGGUGAGAUUCUUGUUCAUAAUAUUUUUUUAGUAAUUCUCUUUUGAUGUUUCUGAUGCUUUGAACUAAAUUUUUCUUGAUAUUUUUGAAUAUUACUAAAUUUGUAUGAUGUCAAAAAGGGAGAGAAAAGAACAACUCUGAUCUAAUAAUGAUUUGCUUUGUUAAACUCUCUGUGAUAUGUUGGUAUGUUGGUGAUUGCUGAAUUCUGAUAUCAUUUCUCUGUUUUUGUUUGAAAUAUUGAAUUCUCUGUUAUUGUUGCUGGAUUUUGGUAUGAGUUUUUUACUCUCAUCUUAUGAUGAUAAAAAAUGGGGAGAAAUGAAUGCUAUAUGUAAGGGGGAGUUAUUCUGAAAUUAUAAGUUUGGAUGCAAUGAGUGAGGGGAAGUUUAUGCUCAUAUGCUCAAUCUUUUUCUUUCUUCCAUCCAUUAUUUUGUCAUCAUCAAAAAAGGGGAGAAUGUUGACCUUGGUCCCUAACUUUUGAUGUUUACAAAAUAAUGGAUAAUACUAAUAUCUUUUCAAAAAAUACUUUCAGUUGUGAAGCAAAUCAGAUUCAAAAGAUCAAGUGCAAUUGAAAGGGACAAAAGCUGCUGAAAGCUGUCGGACGCUUGUGAAGUUAGGAUCGGACGUCCGAUACUCAUUGCGCAACCUCGGACACAUGAAGAACUCCAUCACCGGACGUCCGAAAGAAUUAAGACAUUCUACCUAACUCACUGAUCUCUUUCGGACGCAAGUACCGGACGUCCGAUAGAAUUGAAAAAAAUUUCUCAAACUCACUGCCUGCUGUCAGACGCAAAAAACAGGAGUACCGGACGUCUGACACUCCCAACGGCUAGUUGACUCUUCAGCUACUUUCUAUCCGUUGGAAGUAUUAAUGAAGCACUUUCUUGGUUUCCUAUAAAUAGAGUAUGGUCAGAAACUCCAAAUUACUUUUGCACACUGAAGAUACAAAAGAUCUAGAGUAGUUUUAGUGAGAAAACACUCUCCAAGGAAGAUUUGUAGUCUUAGUGGUGUGAGAUUCAUUGUAAACUUUUCAUUUGUGAGUGAAUACUUCAUGAAUGUAGCUCUGUGAGGGUUGUCUUGAGGGAUAGUAAAACUUCCUAACUUGAUCGAGUGGAGUUCGGGGUAAGGAGGAGGUGAACCUUCCUUUGUACACAAGAGUGAUUGUAAUUCAUCAACUUGAAGAAACUUGUUUGAAUUAAUUUACAAGUUCAAGAGGAGCUGAGUAGUUAAUUGGUUUGCAAUUUUUUCCUUUUUAUUUACCUAUUGUUACGUUUGUGAUUUUUACAUUGUUUAUCUCUUCUACUUCUCUCAAGUGAUUUUGUUCAUUCAUUAAUUGGUUCAUUGUGUGAUCACUUAGAAAAGAAGGUAAAUUUCAUAUUGAGCAAAAAGUGCCUAUAACUUGAUUAGCUUUUUAAUCAAUCUAAUUCACCCCCUCUUAAGUUGUUUUCGAUCUUUACAGGUAUGACCUUUACCCAAACAGGUAUGAUGAAGGAUGGUGGGAUAAUUUCAAUUUUAAUUAUGCGACCGGGCCAAUAGAUUUUCAACAGCAAGAGUCUCAACAACCAUCAUCCAUGCCAGGUAUGUCUCUUGAAGAAAUGAUUGAAUUUCUAGCUGCUAAUACAUAUCGAUUUCAUCAGGAGACACAAACGAGUAUUCGUAAUAUGACGGAUCAAGUGCAACUAUUGACAUCCGGGAUGGCGGAUCAAGUGCAUCUAUUGACAUCCAGGAUAACGCAAUUGGUUUCUCACAUUUGUGAAGAAUUCCCCUCACGGACCAACAUCAACCUUGAGGAAGAUGAAAGUGCAAUUAUCAAUUAUCCGGCCAAAUGACAUGGAACUGCAAGAGUUUCAAGGAAACGAAUCUAAAGAUGCAGUUGAAAAGGAAGUUGAUGUGCAAAAAAUGAGUCCCCAGUAUCAACUCAUCCAAGUGAAUGAAUCCAGUGGACAACCUCCAUAUGCGGUGACAUCUCCUCCAUUCCUUAAUCAAUAUUCUCCUGACUCUUAUUUUUUAAUUUCUGUUAAUGAAAUUGACUUUAUUAUACCAGAAAAUCUUGAAUUUCAUGACAGGAAUAAAUUAAGAGUGGCGAUGGCAAGGUAUCUUGGACCAAUAAAUGCAUGUGAGGAAGGAGUAAAUGGAAAAUUUAAAUUAUCGUUGACUUGUUUGUCGUCAUUUACUAGUCCAUGGAAGACCGUAACUCGUGUGCUCAAGAAUUAUUCUAUUUACGAGAAUUAUCAGAAUUAUAUAGAGGAUGAAUCAUUAAAACGAGUCACAAGAUUUUAUCCUCCAUGAACAAACAUGACAAUGUCUAACUAAAGACGUUAAAGAAAGGCGCUCAUUGGGAGGCAACCCAAUUUCUUUUAGUCAUUUGUUCGUUUUUAUUUGUUAGUUUAAAUAUGUUUUCCUUGAAUUUGACUGAUUUCUUGCUUCAAUUUUCAUUUUUGAUGACUCGUAGGUAUCUCUCUGACAUGACGUGCCCGCGUCAUGUCGUAUGGAGAGCUCAUGGUCAGAAGGGUUCUUGUUUUUUUACGUGCUCGAGUCACGUUCACGAGAAAGGUAAAUAUUCAAAUUUCGAGAAAAUUUUCGAUUACCUGUUAAUCUCUAAUUUUUAAUUUUGAAAAUAAGUUUUGUUAAUAAUAAUAUAGUAAAAAAAUGAAAAUAAAAAUAAUUAAAAAAAUAAAAAAAAAUUUCUUUCGUUUGACCGUAGCUUGGAUUUUCAAAUUUCAAAUUUUUAAUUUAAAAAAAAAACUAUUUCUUUUUUCUUUUUCUUCUUUUUUCUUUCUUUCCUUUUCUUUUUCUUUCUUUCUUUCCUUUCUUCCCUUCUUCCUCUUGUCUUUCUUUCUUCUUCCCCGAUCCCUUCUUCCCUUUGUCCGCCGCCACCUCUGCUCACUCACCACUCGCGCGCCGAAGUUCUCCCACAGUCGACGCUGCCAGCUUCUUCUCUCCCUUUCAGACCACCACUUUGACCCGACUUCAGGGAAGUUUUGUGGUCUUUUCUCCUACUUUUGAUGUUUAUUUGCUACAUUGAGGGCAAUGUAUCGUUUAGGUGUGGGGGAGGAUUAGUUGUGGUUCUAAUUUUUAGUAGUUUUUAGUUUUUAGGUGUUUUUUCUUUAUUUCUAGUUUGUUAUUUGUCUAUCUUUCAUUCAUUUUCUUUCUUUCUUUUUGGUGCUUAGUUCUCAUGUGAAUACCAAGGUUUGAUGUUGGGUUAUUGACUCUAAUUCUACUAUUGCCAUGUUUUAAUAAUAAAAGUGUAUCUAGUUAAUGUGGUUGAAUCCAGACGUCUCUUUGGUGAAUAUCGGUGAUUGCUUGAUUCUUUUGAUUUCUUUGUUAACUUUUCUAGGCAUAGGGAAUGAUUGUUGGCAUUUUUAUGUGAAUUGGUCUAGUAUUAACUUUAGUUCUCCAUAUUUGAAGAAAUGAGGCUAGCGGCUGCUAUUUUUGUUUUCUUUUGCUAUGUUAUUUUGAGUUAUUGUGUUAUUUGGCUGUGAAAUAAAGUUGAAUGUACUCCGCUAGUCAUUACUACUGAGUAACUGGGGAUCUUCACCUAAAGUGUCGAUUUUCGCAUAAAAAAGUAGUAAUUUCUAUGAGUACGUGGUCGUAUAGCGAUAAAAACUGAGUAACCGGGCUCCUUCAUCUGAAAAAUGUCGGAGUUUGGGUCAAAAGGCUCCAAUGGUUAGAGACUAAGUCUUUUGUGCUAUCUUAAAAAAAAGAAAAACAAAAGGAAAAAAUAAAUAAUAGAAAACGUGAAAAAAAGUGUAGGUUGUGUUAGUGUGUGAUAGAAGUCAGCUUGCCGAUUUCUGAAUUUAAUGUGGAGAUUUUGGUUAAUAUUUAGACCAUUUGUUGAUGAAUGUUGGGCGUCAUUCCUUUUUCUUAGAUUAGUUAAUUUGGAAUUGAAGGAGUUUGUGAUUUAGAAGCUAACCGGGGUAAUGUUUCUCGGAUUUUGAUCACUGGUGCUUGAUAUAUGAUUUUUCUUGGUAUCUUGGCAAUAUGGUAGAUAGAGCAAUAGCCAUUGUCAAAUAUUGGUGUUUAUUUAUUGUUCUUAUGUUUGAGGACAAGCAUGAUUUAGGUGUGGGAGGAAUUGAUAGGUUGCAAUUUUAUCAUUAAUUUUAUUAUUAAUUUCCCUUAUUACCUAAUCCAAUGUGAAUUAAUUAUUAGAUUCUAUUCACUUUUGACAAUUCACAUUUAUUUCAGGGAGUUGAUCGAAAACACCAUAACAAGUGCUAAUUUAGCAAUCAUCAGGAAAGAGCUCGAGUAGCAGGCAUCCAGGGACAUUUUUGGAACAACAAGAUGCGGACCCUUUUUGGUAAUUUGUGGAAGACAACAUUGAAAAAGAAGAAAAGGUUGGAGUCUUCGGCUGGAUGGGGGGUGGCCGCACAGUAGCAGUAGGCUACUUAGAUACGAAAUGGAGAUUGCAGAGAACUAGCACUAUCUUUAGCUUUUGACUUUUCUUCGUUUCUUUAGUUCUGAGUAGUUUUUCAUCUUCUUGAUACGCAGGACUUUUAGCUUAACGUUUCUUUUGACUUUUCCUUGAAGUCUUGGGUGGAUUCCUCCUGCGCAUGUCAGGAGCCCUUGGAGGAUUCAAUCACUUUCUGUAUUCUUUUACCAAUUGAACGAAUUGAACCCCCUCGAUCAAGGACAAUGGCUGCGACUUUUACUUCAAUUUUGCAUGGGUUUUUCGUAUCAAAUAUGAACUAAUUCCCUCACUCUAGUCAAGGAACAACAGAGGUUUUGGUUCGUCUAAAAAUUGUGAAAUCGAUUUAAUUUUAUCUUUUUCUUUUAUUUAUUGGUAUUCGCAUAUUUCUUGUUUGCAUUGCUUGUGAUUAUUUAAUUAAUUAAUUGUCUUGGAUCCGAAUAAUUAGUUAAUUUGGUAAUCUAUUGUCAAUUAGGGCAUUAAAUCCUUAAUUGCUUAAUUGCUUUAAAAUAGUGACAACUGACAUGAUUAGAUUUGUGUCAGGGAAAUAUGUGGGCUAAUCUGAAAUAACCCUGGUAGUGCUUUAUUUAGUUACAGUAGAGCUCCUCUAACACGUAAGGCAAUUGAAGAAUUAAAUCUUAUGGGCGUACCUAGGAUUAUUUCCCAAUUAGAGCAGUGAUUAACGGGUGUACCUUAAUCUCCGAUACAGUAAGGAGGGAUUGACUGUCAUCGCUUGUUUGUCAGUUAUAAUCUAUUUAUUAGUAACUAAUUGGAAUUGCUUGUGCAUCGUUGAUCAAUUAGGUGAACCAUUGUUGAAUAUUUCUUGGUUAGACCUUUAAUUAUUUUUACUCUAAUUUUAGUGAAUUGUCAUUUAAUUUCUAGCUAGCUAUUUAUUUUUAGUUUUAUUUGAAUUUCUUUGAUUGUCUUCGUUUAUACAAAAACACCCCCCGUGUUACUUUGAAUUUCUUAAGAGACAAAUAUCCUCAAUCCCUGAGAAUACGACCCUACUUGCCCUGUUUACAAAUUCAUAAUUAUUUGUGAAAAAAGCUAUCACAUUCGGGUAUAUCGGAUCAAGCAAAAUUUUCGGGAAUAUGGUGAAUCAAGUGCCCCAUUGCACACCUAGAGUUCUUGCUCUAGUACUUGGAAUCGGGUUUUGGCUACUUUAACUGGCAAUUAGGUUUAUUUUUAUUAUUGUACAGGUUUCGACAACCUGUCAGUUCUCAAAAUCAAAAUGGAGUAAAAUUAAUUUCAGAAAUUUAGGAUGAACUUCAUUUCCAAUUUUCUGAUUUAGAAUAUGAAUUUUCUGAACAGGAAGAUGUUACUGACCAUACCCUAUUGGCCUUACAGGUACCCGAUAAAAUAUGUAGUAUCCGACGAACAAACAACAAAGGGUCUUAUCCCCAUACGCUUGUUCAUAUUUUCCUGGAUAAGUAUUCCAAAUCAAUUCCAAUAAUUGCUUUCUUUGAUUCAAGUGCAUCUUUGUCAAUCAUGAAAAAAGACAUUUGACCUGAUGAAUGUUGGGUCCAUAAGACUCAUGAUUUCAAAGCAGCUAAUGGUGAGUUUUUUCAAACAAAGUUUACAACGAAAGACCCAAUCACCAUUAAACUUCUCCCAGAUUGUCAAAUAAAAUCAAAAUUUUUGGGAGCAAAUUUUACUGGAAAAGAUCUCAUUCUUGGUUUUGAUGUUUACAAGACUAACCAAUAUCGUUUUACACCUUUCGGGAUCAAGUCCAAAAAGUUUUUCAACCCUUAUUUGUUACCGUGGAUUAGUUCGUGUAACUAUUCUAUUUAAAUUAUUUCUACCUUGUGUCAAUUGGUAUCAGAGUAGGUUUCUCCUAUUUCUACAUUAUACCAAUGGCUGGCAACAAAUCUGGUGAUGAAACUUCUGCCCCUAAAUUGUAAAUUUAGAUUACAAACAGAUGGAUUGAUUGCUUGGAUAAAAAUAGUUGGUUGCUUGGAGAAUUAUAUUAACUGUAUCCAGGAAAACAUGGAGUGUGCUCGGAUUGUAAAUUAUUUGAGAUAAUUUUAUGAAAAAAUACUAUAGCACUUUUUGAUAUAAUGUAUGUAAGAUAAAAAGGUGAUUGAAAAAUAUAUUGAUGAUACAAGUAAAUCAGUAUAUAUAAAUAAGAUAUAAAUAAAGUAAAAUAAUUGACAAUCCAAACAUACUCAUGGAUAUCAUGAUGGAUCGUUUGAAUGAUGACAGAGUGCCCUUUGACCGAACUCGAGUCAUUGAUGAGCAACGAAGACUUCAUAGAUAGCAGGCCUAUGAGGAAGAUUCGUUUGCAAACGAGACAUUAAUUGAUUUGGCAGGGAAAGCCCUAAUAAAGAGGUAAUCGAGUCAAAAUUGAGAGCCUGAAAAUUUUAAAUUAAAGGUGGAUCUUCCCUCCUUCAAUGGUGAUUUAGGUAUUGAGGAAUUGGAUUGCAGAAAUUGAAAGAUUCUUCAACUACAUGGAAAUCCCAAAGACUUCACAAGUCAAACUCAUGGCUUAUCAGUUGAAGAGUAAUGCGUCAUCUUGGUGGGAACAGUUGCAAUCUCGAAGGCGUCACUGACGAAAAUAGCCUGUAAGGACAUGGGUUAAAAUGAAGCCUCUUUUGACUACUAGAUUUUUACUGCCUGAUUAGGAGUCGUACUUGUACUUACAAUUUUAACACUGUACCCAACGUAAAAGGUCUGUUCAUGAAUAUUAUUCUGAAAUUUUGCUAUUACAAUCCUGUAACAAUAUUAUGGAGACCGAGGGUCAACUCAUGUUGAGGUUCCUGGAUGGUUUAGAUACGAGUGUAUGGGAAGAAACUGGUAUUCAACCAUUUUUUAAGCUGUCAGAUGCAAACAACCUAGCCUUGAAAGCUAAGAUGAAUUUGGCUUGGAAACGAAAUGCAGGGAAAGGGAGUUCGGAGGAUCGUGUAGAAGAGUUCGUAGAAUCGCCAUUCAGUGAAGCAUCUUGGUCAGCACCAAAGGUUUGUCCAAGCACGACCAAUUAGUGACGUGAAGGGAACUAUUAAGAAGGUCAAUACCAAUCCAAACCCUCCACAAAAUCCUAAAGCUAAUAUGAAUACCUACGCUAAGCCAAUGUGCGAUAAGUGUUGAAGACGUCAGCAAUCUGGGCAUCAAUCACAUAACUGUCCAUAACAUAAGGCUAUGAAUUUUGUGAAAAAUACGGGACAGGAUGAUAUGGAGGAGAAAAGCUGUGAGUGACUAGUGUAUGCGGUGCAAAGAAUUGAGUCUAGGGAGGAAAAGUUUGAUAAAUGACGCGAGCAAAUUUUUAGAACCAGGUGCAAAAGUUUUAAUCAAUUUUUUGACUUGGUAAUUGCUAGUGAAAGCUGUGAAAAUAUUAUUUCUAGAUUGAUAGUGAAAGCUGUGAAAAUAUUAUUUUUAGUACUUUGGUUAAAUUGCUAAAUUUGCUUGUUGAACUAUAUCAUGAGCCUUACAUGAUUAGCUGGAUAAAGGAUGUGAAAUCUGUAAAAGUAGUUAAAGAGGUAUUUAGUUCCUUUGUCCAUAAGUAAAUAUUAUAUUGAUAGUGUUAUGUGUGAUAUGGUGGAUAUGGUUGCAUGUCAUUUGUUAUUUGGAAGAUCAUAGCAGUAUGAUCAAGGUGUGACUUUCUAUGGAAGGGAAAAUGUCUAUCGCUUCGUUAAGGAUGGCAAGAAGAAGAUUGCUUUAGUGCCAAUGAAGCCAGGGUAACGGUCCAAAGUAGUUCAUAUGGUUGACAAUAACUUAUUAACUAUUAUAACUUUGGUUUGUGAUUUGAAUGGAGGUAAUGAGCUAGAUGCUGUCAAAGUGGAAGAAGUUAUUUCUCAUGAUAUACUUGAAGAGAAAGUGCCACAAGUUGAAGAAGGUAGCGUGCAUCUCAGUAAGCCACUAGAUACAACCCCAAUAGAGUUCAUGCCAGCUUUUAGUGAAGAUUGGGUGAAUCAAAGUCUGGUGAAUCUUCAAGCAGUGGGUGUCGAGAAGAAGCCUGAUCUAAUGAAGACUUUCAUUGUUCAAGAGGACAAUUCCAAAUUUAUUUUGACAAUGGAGAAUGAUAUGGUCAUUGCUUUUGAACUUGUAUCUGAGUCCAUGGCGAUGGAGUUGCAAGUUUUCUUUAUAAUCCAGUUCGUGUUGGUGGUUGAAAGGUCUUUUUGACUUCAAAGGAGAAUCGUGGAAUUGCUAGUCUGUGGGUGCUUGAAAGUUUCCUUGGGAAUUCGAGAUCGAGUUCUUUUGAAUUGGAGAGGACUGGUGUGGAAUGAGUGGCACAAGAAAUCUUAGACCAAAUCGAUGAAGCAAAGGAGCAUAAGAAUAAGCGGCGCGGAGAACAUUCUGAAGCAUCAGGAUGAAAGCACGGCCUAAAAUAUGGCCUCACCUGUGUUUUCAUCACCCACGUUUUGCUUCCCGAAGACUUCCAACGACAACUCCAGCGCCACAACCGAUGCCAGACUUCAUCAGAUUGUUUUUGCAUUUUCCGUUUGGUUUCCAUUUUUUAUGUAAUUUCAUUUCCUCUUUGAUUUAGAACUUCUUAGCUAUAUAUAGGAAAGUAUUAGGGCUUGUUUUAUGAGACUUUUGAUAUAAUUCUUGAAAUUUUUAACACUUGGUGUGUUUGGAUUCUAUACCUAGAUUGGAUUCUUCUUGAAUCUAGACGAGGUUCUAGUUGAAUUUUGGAUUUUCUUUUUGGUGUUUGAUCAUGAAUCAACCCUUGUUUGUCUCUGUGGAUUAGUUCGCGUAACUAUUCCAUUUAAAUCACUUCUGCCUUGAAUCAUCUAGGCUUGUAGGUAUUGCAAUUUAAACGAAAUUGCAGUGACAUAAAAAAUGAGAUCGAUCUACUGGCAUUGCUGGAAUGCCAAAUUUCUAACAUUUUCUACAACAGCAAUAUCUGAACUUUUCUGAAGACUAAAAGGUGAUUUCUAAUCAUCUGCACUUCGCUAAUUAUUUUGUAAGUCAUAAUAGUAGCACCCUUAGGAUAAUUCCUUGCAUUCUGCAAGCUGUUUGUACAUCCAAAUUUUUCCCAGAAGGACAACGAAUUAUUGUUCAAAACUUAAAAGACAGAUUAUCAAUCUUCUGAUUUCUUGGGAAGAGAAAAUAUGAGAAACAAGCAAAGUGGAACUACAACAAAAGCAGCAGCCUUCAGCAAAUCCUCGUUCUCUUUCGAGAUAACUCCAAUUCUUGACCAAUCUCCACUGUACCUGAAUUAACACGAAGUGAUUGCAAAACGAGAAAUAACUGCUUAAGAUAACUGAAAGGACCUGCAGACAUGUACAUAUUUACCCGGCAUCGAUGAAUCCCAAUGAAAACACUGCAAUCGCAGACUGUGCAAGAAAUGUGUUUGAAAUUUUGAGAGAAAAAUUUGGUUGUUCAGUUGGUGAAUUCUCUGGCAAAUCGCGCUUCUUUGCCAAUGGAAAUGUGGCAGGUUUUCUAAGAGUUAAGUUUGGCAAGGAAAAAGAAGCCUUAGCACCACAAAAACUGGCGCUCUGUUGCAUCAGCAUUUUGUUAUCAUCUAGAACCUGAGAGUUCUAAGUGCUCAUUAUCUACUACUAUAUCCGAAUGAGUGGCUGCCAUUGAAUCUUUGAAAAUCAUAUCCUCGUACCAAAAGAAAAAGAAGUUCAUUUCCUAGCAAAUCCACGCUAAAGAUGGGUUCAACCGUUCAAGCAUUUAUAGCUAGUCUUUAAAUAUAAGGAUUUUGACUUUCAUAUGGUUAUAGCCUUUUUUUUUUUUUUUUCUUCACAGUGGGUAUCUGGGCCCAAGGACUGGUUACCGUACGGCCCAACUAAUCCCACUGCGGGCUGGGAGCGGCUCGCCCUAAGCAUCACCAGCCACGGUAAACCGGGGAUUCGAUCCCGUGACCUAGCUCUCCCCCAACUGGGACUACAACCAGUGACCUGGCUUUCAUAUGGUUAUAGCCUUAUUGACACACUUUUCUUCUUUGACUGUUUAGCUUACAUUUGGCCAUUACCAUUCUCAAACCUCAAUUCCUUCAUUUUUCUUUUAAUAGUAUUAAAUGAUGUUCGAAAUUAGAGGAAGAAAAGAAAUGAAAAGUAAGGGCAUAUCGUUUUGGUAAAUCCGUUUAUAUAGCUCUGAGAAUAUUAAAAAAAAAAAAAAACUCACUUUUUGAGUAGUGAAAGGAUAUGGUUCUACUGAUCCAAUAUGGAACCAGUUAUAUUCCAAUAACUUUUAGUCAGAGAAAUUUUGUGCUUUAUAGAUACAAAUGGAGGAGGAUUGAGAGUUGAAGUGAAGUGCUGGUAAAUGUUCUUACGACUUGGGUUUUAAGAACAUAUGGAACCACUUUAUUAGUGGCAAAUAAUUUACAAUAGAAUGUAACUCAUCACAAUUUGAAAAAAAAAAUUUCGCUGUAAAUAUCUCAUUGUCCGGGGACUGCAUUGGUCAUCGAUUAAUUCAAAAUCUAGCACUAUGUCCUCCUUUAGGGAGGCUGGUUCUCCUGUCAUAAUUUGGAUUUCAAAUCUAAAUUUUAUAUUUGUUAAAUGCAUCCAGUUCUGUUCGCUUAUAUAUUAUCAAUGUAGAGAACAUUAACCCUUCUAUGUACAAAUAAUUGAAUUUAAUUUUAAUUGUGGCAUUCAUGCUCGGCAUGGCAAAGGCUUCACAAGCCAGUAUAGGGAAAGCUCAAUGCAAAUAAUUUUUUAUUUUUUAUUCCUUUUCUGUUCUUAUAAUUAAAGAAGGGGAUGGUGGGAUGUGCAAUAUGAAAUGGGACAAAAAUUUUUUUUUUUUAAAGAAUGACAAAAGAAAUGAAAAUGUUAACAACUAUGCUAUGCUUGUAAUUUAGCACCUAGUGACCAGCAUCUUUAAUUGUUACAAAAGUUAAAUUAAAUUAUCCUUGCAUUCUUAAACAUUAUCCACCACAAAAAUCAAAAUCAAUAUAUAUACAUAUACACGUAUAGACGCGCACACACACAGUAAUAAGGCCAAGAUUAAUAUUACAAUUUAAGAAAUAAAAGCAACUUCAAAUAAUCUGAGACAAGACCCAUGGGCUCAAAGUUUAGCUGGGCAAUGGGUCUUAACAAGCAACAAUUGGGCUUGGCCAAGACACGGUGUACGAUUCUUUGCGACAUUUGCUCUUACUUCCGCGGCAAAAUUUCAAGUAAAGCAGCCCUCAAAAGAAAAUGAGCAAAUGGUGGCCCAAAAAAAGAGAACAUUAUGGCAUGAACAGUAAGACAGGACUAUAUAAACAAUUAUAUACUACACGAAAAGCUUAAAACAGUCAAUUUAUUGAAAAUUAUCAAACGACAUAGCUCUAAAGCUAUUCCCUGAUUACUCAAGUCAAUUUGUAAAAAAAAAAAAAAAAGGACUAACUUUGAAUCCAUUUAUUGACCAGCAAACGACAACAAUAAUAUAUACUACUUCUGGGCUAAGUAUUUCAAUUUGGAUGUAUGUAAUCUAACAUUUUGUAUCUUCUCUCCUUUCCUUAAUGGCAUCACCACCAAAGCCUUCCACAUAUCCUUAACCAUUCUCAUGUAAAAAUAAUUUUAAAAAAAAAGGAAGAUAACACUACCAGAAGGCAAGAAUAAAUGAUGAUUACUCAAUUUGUGUCGAUAAAUCAAUUGAUUUGAUAAACAUUCCAAAACUAUCAAAUUUCGUAAAAUGUCAAUGCCUAUGUUGUCAUACAACAGCAGUCAACAAAAAACAAAGAACAAAAUGGGUGAAAGAAAAUCCUAAGAUAUUUAUAGGCUACAUCAGUUUUCCAAAAUAGAAGAAGGAAAAGUAGCAUAAAACAUAAAUAAAAAAAAGGGAGAAUUGGAGUUUUGGUCCCCAAUUUAUAACAAAUACGUGAAACUAGUCCCCAAUCUAUUUUGGAGAACAAAUGUAGUCCCCAAUCUAUCCAAAUUUGCUCGAAAGUGGACAAUUAACGGGUUUUCUUCAAAUUUUGCUGGAAACAAGUCAGAAGAGAGCACGUGCCGGCGGUUAAAAUCCUUUUUUCAAUUUUUUUAGCGUGAAAACUCAUACAAAAUUAUUUCCAGCUUUCUAGUCCCCCCUUUUUUUAUUAGCAAAGACAAAACACACUAAUUGUAUAACCAAAAAAGGCAAAAAUAAAAAUAAAAAAAACACCCCUUUUUUCUUUUACUUCAGUCUCCAGAAAUGAGAACAGAAAACCAGAUUAAGUUCCGUGCAUAAAAUCAGUAAAUCGGAAGAAAAAUCUUGAAGAACUCGGUGAUAAUGGAGUUGUUCGUGAAUCUGGGAGGAGGAAAUGGCACUAAGACCAAAAGAAAUGAAUGGAUCACCGCCACUAGAUUACGGUAUGUGAUUUUGACCUCAUGUAGCAUUAUGCAUGCUUAAUUCAUGCUUAUAUUGUAAGAAUGUGAUGAUGAAUGGUGAUAUUUUCACUUGGGAGACAAAAAAUAUCGUAAAUUUUGGAUUUUUAAGUAAUCUGAUAAGGCCCUAAAAACAAACUUGUCUACCAUUGUAUGUGGUCCCGUAUGUCUCUCUGGAGUGGGUUGUCAUGGUAGACAAUGUUGGGUUAAAUGAGACUUUGUAAGUGGUCCUUGUCUGAACUUUAUAUGGCAGGAGGUGUAUUAUUGAAUUGUCUUGAAGCUGAUUGAGUGCAAAUUACCUGCUUAUAUAAUCUAAUUUGUCACUUAUGGUACUUGUUUAUUGUGUUUGUUUUAUUUUUUUUGUCCUUAAAUUCAAACAGUGAUAGCACUGAAGUAACUAUGAAGUGUUAUAUAUGGGGAAAAUGUGAAACCUAACCUAAUGUGCAUUAUAAGGGAGGAGAAUUAAGGAUUUUUUAUCAUGUAGAGGUCACAAGCAUUAGUCUAUUUGAAAUGAAUAGAAUGCUAGAAAAUCAACUUCAAGCAGUUGGUGACAAAAAGUACCAUAUCCUAAUCGAGAAAUAUGGAUUUCGUUUGUUAAGGCAUGAUAGAGAAUUACAUGCAUAUUGUGCUGAUCAUUUUGACUCUAGCAGGGUGGUUGAUUUGUAUGUAGAGGAUUCUUUUAGUGAUCUACUAGCAUCACAAUAGGGGUCUGACAUUGAGGAUGUGGACUUUGUGUUAGAAGAUGAAGAGGAUGAAUAUGAUGAUGAAUAUAUGGCUAGUUCAGGCUCUGAUUUGGCGGAGUUCUCAGGAGAAGACUCAAAUUAUGAUCAAAAUUCAGAUGAUAAUGAUUAUGAUGAAAAUGUUGAUGAAGAUUCUGAAUGGUUGGGGUAAAAAAUAGAAAACAAGAGCAGCCGAAUAGGCAUCUAAAAAAAAGUCUACAUAUGUUAGGAUGAACCACAUACCUAGGAAACAAAUGUCUAAUGAUACUGAAAGUGAUGAUGACAAUUCUGACAUAGAUGCUGCCCCAAAUUCAAAUACUGAUAUUGGUAGUGAUAGAGGGUCGGAUGAAGAGAAAAGCUUGAGACCCCCUAUGUUUGAUCCCAAGGAUGAAAAUAACCCCAAAAUUAAACUUAGACAAAUUUUUUCUUCCUUCAAGGAGUUGAAAGAAACAAUUAGAACCUGGAACAUUAGGAGAGGGAGACCAUUUAAAUUUAUCAAGAGUGACAUCAUAAGAAUUAGAGCAAUAUGUCCUAAAGAUGGGUGUGAUUGGUGCAUAUAUGCUAGGAGGAUGAAAGGGGAUAACAGAUUGGAGGUUAGAAUAUUUCAAAAGAAGCACAAAUAUGGAUUUUCAUACCACAACAAGAGUGUGAAGUUUGGAUGGGUAGGAAGAAGGUAUGUUGGCAUAUUUAGGGAGAACCCAAGGCUGGACUAUGAGUGUGUUUGGAUAGAGUAUUAUUUGAAAUAUUAUUUGGAAUAAUUACUAUAGCACUUUUUGUGAUGUGAUGUAUGUGAGAUAAAAAGUAAUUGGGAAUAUGAAAAGGUGAAUUGAGAAAUGUGUUUAUGAUGCAAGCGAAAUAUUAUUUGGGAAAUGUUAGUUUCAAAAAAUUUGGUAAUGAAGGAGCACAAAUGUUAUCUUAGUAAACAUUAAGACUAUAGAGCUAAGAAAUUGCAGAGAAUUUGGCCAAAAGUAGUGAGAUGGAUUAAUAUAAUAAACUGCCUCAAUAUAUCAAUGAAAUCGAGAGAAGUAAUCUAGGUAGCAUAGUAGUUAUGAAGCUGGUAGAUGACUAUUGUAAUGCAGUAACUGGAUAAGGCAAAUUUCAGAGAUUAUACAUGUGUUUUGUUGGGGUAAAACAGGGGUUCUUAGAAUCUUAGCAGCUUGUAGACCUGUGUUCGGAUUGGAUAGAAUUUUUCUCAAAGGUUCAGCGGCGUGUGUACUAUUGACAGCAGUUAGAGUUGAUCCAAAUAAUGGAAUGUAUCCUAUAGCUUAUGCAGCAACUGAGGGAGAAACCAAAGACUCUUGGAUUUGGUUUCUAACAUUACCCAAGGAAGAUUUGAAAAUUGAAAGGGACUAUGAGUGGACAAUAAUGAGUAAUAAGCAAAAGGGAAUAAUCCAAGCAUGUGAAACAAAUUUUUUUUGAAUGCAACUCACAGAUUCUGUGUUAAACAUAUGCAUAGUAACAUGUCAUCUACUGGGUUCAAAGGGGCAGCAAUGAGGAAAGCUCUCUAGAAAGCAGCUAAGGCAACUACUCCAAUGCAAUUCAUAAGAAGAAUGGAGGCAAUUGCAAAACUUGAUGCUGAAACUGCUAAGUGGUUGGAUGACAAGAAUCCAGCAGAGUGGAGUAGAUCACACUGUAGCACUUACCCAAAGUGUGAUAUGUUGCUAAAUAACAUAUGUGAAUCCCUCAACAGCAAGAUCUUAGAUGCUAGAGAGGAGUCAAUUGUUGCAAUGAUGGAAUCAUUGAGAUAUUUUAUGAUGUCAAGAAUGCAAGAAAACAGAGACAGAGCUAGAGAAAAAUGAAACAAAUAUGCAAUCUGCCCAAAAAUCAGAAAAAUAAUGAUAGAGAACAUAAAUAAGGCAACUUACUGUGUGCCUUACAAAUCCAACGGAGUUAACUAUGAAGUUGAUGAUCCCUAUGGUGAAAAGUAUGUAGUUAAUAUUAAAGAAAAGACAUGCUCUUGUAGAAAAUGAGACUUGAUAGGGAUACCUUGUUAUCAUGCAAUUUCUGAACUUUGGAUUGCAAUGAUGGAUCCAAUGGAGUAUGUUGAUGAUUGCUAUAGUGUGGAAACUUAUCUCAAGUGUUAUGAGCCAUGCAUACUACCUCUUCAUGGAGAGCAAGAUUGGGCAGAUGUGAAUGUCCAGCCACCACUCCCACCAACAUAUGGAAGAGCACCAGGAAGACCUAAGAAACAAAGGAGAAAAUCUAUUGAUGAGGUGCAGGAAAUGAAAGAUAAAAGAGUUAAAUAAGAAGAUUUGGACAAAUCUGUAAAUGUACUUACUAUGGGGAAAAGGGUCAUAACACAAGGACAUACAAGCUUAGGCAACAUUCACAGAUUCAAGAUGGAUUGCAUGAAGCACAAUGUGUAGAUGACUUGUCACAAUUGGAUACAAACCAUACCAUCUCUAUGAGUGAUAAGAUCUAAUUUAUUUGAAUUCAAAUACUGUGAUUUUGUAUUUGCUUAAUGAUAAUGGUUUUAAUCUCAUGUUCUAGGUUGAAGGUAUUAGCUCCACUGCUAAGAAGACAACAAGAAGAGCAGUGAAAAAAGCUGUACAGUUUUCUUAUAACUUGAAUUUGAUUUUAUAUUCUUACCAGCAUAACUACUGCGCAUACUCAUUACUCAUACUACUGUUGUGCAAGGAAAAGGCACCAGACGUGUAGGAAAGAAAGUAACUUCAUCACAAAAUAGCCAACAAGCUACUGAGAGCAACAUAAUUUCUUCUGCCUCUGUUGCUGAACCUAACUUAUAUGAGAUUUUUGAAAUUUCAGAUCCACAUGUGGCACAUAUCAGCCAACUAGUUGCUCCUAUUACUUCUGCACCAUUUAGAAUUAGGGAUGUUCAAAUUCAUUUUGAACUCCCCAAGACCAGUGAACGUGGUGACAAGUCCAAUGUUAAAGGAAAAACAAAAGUGAACUAAUUAUGUAUUUCAUUUAUUGAUGACCGUGUUUAUGUAUGGGUAGACUUGGUAUUUCUUUUGUUAUGUUAGAAGUAAUGCAAAUGUUGCAAUGCAGCUUCUUUUGUACUUCUUUUGUCAUGCCUUCUGAUGAAGUCUAUGUAUACUUUGUAAGGGAGAAUUGGAGGCCCCUUUUUCUGAUGAAGUCUAUGUAUAUUUUGUAAGGAAGAAUUGGAGGUCCCUUUUUAUAGUUGUAAUAACUGAAUUGCAAUAUUAUUUAAAGAUUGCUGGCUUCUGGGCAGAAUUGUUGCAGUUUCCUUUCUCAAUUGAGUUGUGAAUAUCUUGGCAUCAUUUACAAAUGUGCUUGUGUUUUACAGGGAUAAUUUCCAAAUAAUGCCUUCAUUUGGCCUCUAAAUUGCCAUCACUUUACAUGUAUAAUAAGAUGCUAGACAGAUAUUUACUAAUCCAACUAUUAAAUCACUCUUAAAUAGAGGCUCAAAAGAUCUUGAAAGACUAUUAAUUUUAUAUCAACAAAUGUCCAUUACAAUUUACAAUAGCACUGAAUACAACAUUACCGAUAUCUUACUAGCAACGUAAUACAUCCCAACCUACACAUUCACCCACUGCAAGCAAAAAACUCCAAAAUUCUGAAUAAAUGUGUUUUAGCUAUUAGCUUGAACAAGAUUGCUGAUUACUAGUAGCUUGUCACAAUCCGCUAAAACAUAGAUAUUCCAUCCUAAUUUCUGGUCUUUUACACCAGUAAAACAAACAACAACAACAAUACCAACAACACAAUUGCAGAGACUAAUUUUCUUUCCCUUGCUCUUAGUUUUUCAAUUGUGGCAUUCUUAGCAUUCAUGCUCCACAGCAAACCAGGUAUCAAAGCAGUGGUUCUUUGGCACAUUAUCAGAUCAUACCACUCGAAAUAGUUGUAACCUUUUUCAUCUCUUUUGCCCUUCACGGUCAUAAAAAAUAAUGCUUCAGAAAAAACCUAAAAUUCAGAAGCUGAAGCAAGAAUUUGAGAUAGCCUAUACCUUCUUCAUGCCGCAGCUAAAAUACCUUCUUCCAGGGUUGCUGUGUGUCCAAGAGGUAAUCAUCAUUACUUGUAACUUACAGUGGCGAAACUUUUCUGGUAUCAUGACUACAUACAACUAGCUAAGAAGACAAAUUUGUCAAAAUUAUGCCAUGAGUGUGAACGGAUGAGAAAACCCGAAGCUCUUCAAUCUCGAUCUGUACAAGUCUUUGUCACUUCCCAUUAAUUGAAUUUGGCUACAAGGGUUUUUUCUUCAGUUGGGGAAGAAUAGAGAAAACGACGGAAAGAAAGAAAGGGAUAGAUUGGGUUUUGUCUUUGUUAAUCAAAAAUUUUGCCAAUCGCUUAAUUAUAUAGUAGAUUAAUAGUAAUUAAUAUAAUUAACUCCAUUUGCUAAUUGUGUUUUGUCUUUGCUAAUAAAAAAAGGGGGGGACUAGAAAGCUGGAAAUAAUUUGUUAUGAGUUUUCACGCUUAAAAAAUUGAAAAAAGGAUUUUAACCACCGGCACGUGCUCUCACGUGACUUGUUUCCGGCAAAAAUUGAAGAAAACCCGUCAAUUGUCCACUUUCGAUCAAAAUUGGAUAGAUUGGAAACCAUAUUUGUUCUCCAAAAUAGAUUGGGGACUAUUUUCACUCAUUUUGUUAUAAAUUGGGGACCAAAACUCCAAUUCUCCCUAAAAAAAUGCUAAACUUUGUUUUAGACAGAAGAUCCUUGAUAUUUACAUGAUUUUAAAAAGUUUUAUUUGAUAAUUUUUUACAUGAUUUAAAAGUUUUAUCUGGUGUUUUUUUACACAAUUUGCUUGACUUAUUAAAAACUUGUGAGUGAUGUUUCCAAAAUAUCUCUAUUUAGUUGGUCAAUCAGGAAUUAGAUUAGUUUUAGGUGGUGGUGCCACUACAAAGACGUUUAAUUGGAAUAGUAAAAUAAGUUCACAUAUCAAAUUAGUUAGGAUUAAAAGUUAGGGACUGAAUUGGCACAAGUGAAAAAGUUGAGGGAUGAAAUUGGCCAUUUUUGCUAAGAGUGUAAUAGGGAAAGAAAUAGAUAAGCAUCCCGGCAAAUAAGAAAUAGAUAAGGCGACAAAGGUUCACCUUGUCUUAGUCCUCUUUGAGGGGUGAUUGAGCCCACUUGACACCAUUGAGCAUGAAGGAAAAGGUGAUUGAGGAAACACAUUUAUGGAUUAUAGAGAUGAAACGAGUGUCAAAACCUAGAGCAUUCAUAACUUUUAAAAGAAAAUUCCAUUCUACCCUAUCAAAGACUUUACUUAUGUCUAAUUUGAGCGACAUCAGACCAUCUUUACCCCAAGUUUGGUGUAGUUCAUAUGAGACCAAAACAUUAUCAAUAAUAAGCCUACCUGGAAUGAAAGCAGACUGGGAUUCUGAAAUGAUUUCAGGCAAAAGGGAUCUAAUUCUGUUAGCAAGAACCUUUGAAGCUAGUUUAUAAACAACAUUACAAAAAGAGAUUCGCCUAAAUUGAGAUAUUUGGUCAGGGUUUUUGCACUUAUGAAUAAGAACAAGAUGUGUAAAGUUAACUUGAUCAUUGAAGACACAAUUAUUCAAAAAAGAUAGUAUAAAAAAAUGUGAUAUCUUGGCCAACAAUAUUCCAAUAUUUUUGACAUUGGACUAAAACCGUUUGGACCUAGAGAUUUAUAUGGAUGCAUCCGAGAGGGAGAUUUCGUUACCACAUUUGCUGUGAAGGGCUCAAGAAUUUUUUUAAUUUGUGGAAAUGUUAAGGAAAUUUAGGAUAGGGAACAAAAUUUGGGAUUGAAAAUUUUGUAACAAAUAUUAAAAGGCCUAAAUUUAUAGGAUUUAUAGUACAAUGUACCUACACAACUAACUUAGACAAUACAAUGAAUUUGGAAAACAGAUUUAUACAAGAUAUUAUCUUUCUAAUUGAUUCUAAUUAAUCAUAUAUGCAUAUAAUAAAAAUAGGCUCCAUGUGGAUUGCACUUAUUUUUUCGAAAACUAUUUUGUUUGUGGAGUCUACUUUAACAACUCCAAAAUACACACAAUUUUAAAUACAAUUUACACAAAAAAAUCUUAUCACAUUUUCUUUUUCCACUCACAACCACCACCCGCCACCACCACCACCACUUCUCUCCUCUUCCCUUCUCCUCCAUCUCUACCUCUACCACCACCACUACUACCACCGCUACCCUUCCUCUCUCCCCUCUCCUCCCUCUUUCUUUCUCUCCACCUUCUUCCUCCUCUCUCUUCCCCUCGUCUUUGUUGCUCUCCCCUGCAACACCCUUCCCUCCCUCCUUCCCCUAUAGGGAGCUCGCAACACCAUUCCCUUCCUCCCCUAUAGGGAGGUGGAAGGAGGGAAAAAGAGAGGAGGAAGGAGGAGGGAACAAGGCAGUGGUGGUGGUAGUGUUCAAUUUUUUGAGAAAAAAAAAUACCCCAAAAAUUUUUAAUUUUAAAAAUAUCUCAAAAUACAUCCUCAAAAACACCUCAGAAAUACCCAAACAUCUACAGUAAAAUUUUUUAUUUUGGAAGACUGAUGACUUGACUAUUCUAAUGUUCUGCCAAGUGAACUAUACUAUCUAUCUUUACACUUCGUAAACAUAUUUAAUAUUUGUGUUUUUUAGUUUUCUUAUUCUCUUUCUAUUUUUUUCAACAAUUAAUCCCUUUUCUUUUUCACUUUCAAUCAAUUUAUUAGUUUCUGCGUUAUAUAUUUUGUAUUUGUUUUGCCUUAUUGAAUCUUUUUAUCAAUCAACUUACAGUUUUAUUUCUUUCUCUCCAAUCAUGUUUUGCAAUUUAUUAUUUGGCUUGAUUAUCUAUUAGAAAUUACUAUUACUAAAUUUUGGAAUUUUUUUUUCUUUUUCUUUUUUAUUUCUCUUGAUAUAAUAAUUUGCUGUUCAAUUUUUUGUAUGGUAAGUUGUUGAUUUGGCUACUCUCACAUUGUGCCAAGUGGAUGCCCUAUUUUUUUGCCACAUCUAUAUAUUUUACAAUUUACUUACCUAGUUUUUAGUUGAACAAGAAUCACCCACCUUUUUUCCAUAAGCUUUCUUUCCUUAAUUUAUUGUGUUUUGCAUUAAUGAUUAGAGUAAGCAAAAUUUGAUUAUCCUGAUCAUGAAUUAAUUAUUUUUUAUUGUGUUUAACUUGAAUAUUUUUAUUUAAUAUUUUAGUUCUUUGAUAUCAAUAUUUAUUAAAAAGGAAAAAGAGGAAAAAAAGAUAAAAAAAAAGUGCCUGUGCAAAUGCACGUGUAAAUAACUAGUGGUUAUGUAAAAUAAUGUACAUUAACAAGAAAAAAGAUGCAAAUUUUAUUAAUUGAAUACUCCAAAUACAGGAUUAGAAACAACAAAAGUAGGUAGAGAAUCAUUCUAAAUACAGGAAUCAGAAAUUGAUAAAAUAAACUUAACUGAAAGAUGAGGAACCACAUUCUUAUUUCUGAAAGUUCAAGAAAUCUCCCAAAUUGAACUUUGCAAAUGAAAAAUGACCUCCUCAAUCAUAAUAUAUAGCUGAGUACGAAAUCAUCUUGCUCAAAAUUCUCAAUCCUCUUGAUGGUGCUUUGCCAUUCUCCCUCAAGGAUAACCCUCCUGCAGAUUUUGCUAAAGACGGUGGCUAAUCUUGAACUUGAAGACAGAGUUGGAAAGCUAAUCUUGGCGGUAGCUAAUCCUGACCUUAACUCCAAUAUAGGCUUGGAUUUAGAAUUUAGAUUACUUCAUUAUGCCAUUCAAAUCUUUGACUAGGGACGGGGCCACAAUUAAUCACAACAAUCAAAUUCUAUUUGGCUGCUUCAAUAGACGUGGUGGGCCCCAUUCAUACAAUUUGACUGGCCCUUAGUUCCGGUGAAUGAAACUUUUAAUUGAAUUAAACAUUACUAUUUAUUUUUACAUUAUUUUACAUGGAAUAUAUAUCCUCUAACUAAAAUUGCCACAUAUCAUUCGUAACUCAAAUAAUUGUUUUUUUUUUUUCAUGCUUAGUGUUGAAAAGGCUUCACAAGUUAGUUUUUGGUCAAACUCAUUGCAAAUAACUUUUAAUUUUUUACUUUUCAUGUUCUUGUAAUUAAAGAAGGGGAUGGUGCGCUGUGCAAUGCGGAAAUCAAAUCCAAGUUUUAGAAUGACAAAAGAAAAGAAAAUCCUAACAACUUUGCAAUGUAUAAUCCCCACUGCUUUUUGUAGAGUAAAUUGCUAAUAAAGUAAAAAAAAAAAAAAAGGAUGAAAAACUAAAUGAACCAAAACACAAUGAGCAAGUUGUGAACUUUUGCCAUGACUACAAUUUUGGGUCAAUGAAAAAGAAACAUAUUGACUUAAAUCCCCAAUGAGAGAGUUCUGUUAUAAUCUAUUAGCUAUAUUGCAUAAUCAUUUUUCAGGGAGUGGAGUCCCUGUUACAAAAUUUGAAACUAGUGAAAGACCUCGAUCAGGUUUAUAACUUGGUACUUGGUGACCUGCACCUCUAACUGUUGCAAAUGUCAAAUUAUUCUUGUAAUCUUGAACAUAUCCACCAACCUAAUGACAAAAAUCAGAAGAAAAAAAUUAGUAUAUGUGACAAUAAGUCAAGAUUAUUAUUACAAUUUAAAAAAUAAGAUUCUUAAUAUGUGGUAAUACAUCAAUACUAUUGCUACCCAUUAGGGUCCUCAAUAGGUGGAUCCUAGAAGACCAAAAAAUAUAUAUAAAAAAAGUACUUAUUGAAGCUUUUUUUUCUUUUUUUUUUGGGUAAGAACCAAAGUCUAAGUAUUGGUUGAAUGAUAAAAUGCUAACCUCCCCAUCACGAUACCAAGGACGCCAAGAAUUUAAAGCUGUAAUAUUCAUGGUUUCUAGGGAAUAUUGUGUUCCAGUGACUGGCAACCUUCCAUCUACAUCACCACUGUUGAUAAAAAAAAAAAAAAAGAGUAGCACCAAAGGUUAUUUUGAUGUACAAUGUAAUAGAGACAAUGGAAAAGCAAGAAUGUAAAUCCUUCAAAAUCGAUACGUAAGCCAAAAAUGACCAUUGUGGGAAUUGGCCAGGCCAGGUCAGGUUUGAAGAACUUAUACUUCAUAAAGUGAUAUCACUAACUAAUUUUAAAUAUAUGGAUGCAUUAUGCCAAAGAUAUUAUCAUUACAAAACAUUUAAUUGUUUAAUGCAAAAAUGUAAAUUUAAGGGGUGAUAUUAAUAGGAAGUGAAUUUAAAAAAAAAAAGAAAAGAAAGGUGGGACAAGGUUGGUGGAGGGAGUACUCUACAAAAAGAUACGUUACAUCAUGUAUCUUGUGGACUAUAGAAGUUUUAAUAAUAGUCAUGUGUCCAAUAAGUUAUUUAACUAUAGAAAUGACUCUUGAUAAAUGAUUUGGUCAUUGGCAGUUGAUACCAAAAUUGAACAAAUAAUUUGUUCAAGAAGAGAAAGGAUGCAGUCAAACUUCUGUUUUCAAGUCUACCCUCACUCCACUUUAUAAAUAUCUUUUUUGUCUCCUUGUGACAUGCCCUUUAUGUACGCGUGGAUAUAAAUAAAUCUUUUCUACACUAUCAAUAUAUACAUUGACGGAAUUAAAUAAAUACCACAUCAUUUGAAUUUAAAUUUAAACAUUAAAUUUUACAUAUGUGGUAUACAUUUAAAUUCGGUAGUAUAUACACUGUUAAUGUAUAAAAGAUUUACCCUAUAUAUAUGUAUAUAUGUAUGUAUAUGUGUGUAUAUAUGUAUACCUAUAUGUGUGCGUGAAGGUAAGUAUGUAUUUGUGUUUAUAAUUGUAAUCUCUGUUCAUCUGCAUGUAAUAUACGAGCAAAUUACCUGAAUGUCCACACUCGGAUACCAUUCUCCAUCAAAUCUUUAAUAAGAGGAAGAACUGUUGAUGAACUAUCUCCCCAUUUAAUAUCACUGCAAUUUAUUAUUCAUUUAUUUAGUAGGAAGAAUCGGACCAAUCAAAAUUUCGUAAAAAGACAUAAUUAGAAAAAAAAAAAAGCAAAAAGAUACAAAACCUGCACGGUUCCCAAUUGUAGUGUAAUUUGGUGAAAUUGGCAUGCAUUGCCUCUUGUACUUCGGGAAGAUUAAAGUAUGACUGAACAUAAUAUUCACUGCAUGGAUCGAUCUCCAUUAUCUGUACAUCACAUUAAAAAAAUUAACAUGUCGAAAUAUUUUAUGAAAUGAAAUUAUUUUUUUUAACCUUUUCUUUUAACCAGAAAUAAUUUUAAUUAAAUAUUUCCCCCUUUUUUCCUUUUUUGGGUUCUGGAAAAAGGAAUUUAUGACUACUUAGCCACAUACCACUAGCUAAGAACCUGCUGAAUGUGGUGUUGGUUUGUGGCUAGAACAAAUCUUUGAGCAAAUGAUAUUGGUUUUCUUGAAAUAUUUUACCACAUGAAUGACAAGACUACCCUUUCAGGUCUAUUUGUUAUGAUAUUUGCUUUGGCUUGAAGAGGACAAUCUUGGAAUUUUAUUAAAAAUAAAUUUCAGUGACAUCACAAUUUGAGUUUUGGCAAUAAAGCCAACAAAUCUUUUUUGGGUGCAACCAAAGUAAUUCAGAAAUGCCACUAACCAGUCCUGUUGUAUAAUAUGGUCGAAUCACUUCCAAAAAGUCCCAAAAACAAAAGUGUCCAAUACCAAAAGCAGAAAGGAAAACUCACCGAAAACGGCUUAGGGAUGCUGGUCAGAUUAGUGUGCAAGCACAUAGGAUAAUAGAUAUUGUAGAUGUCAAUAGCUCCAACCAUGUUGCCAGCUUCUUGUACGCUUUUAAUGCACUCAUCUGAUGUUUCGGCAUCCGCUGAGAAAUUACAAUAUUUGUGGAUAUCUCUUGAAGAUUCAAGGGAAAUCAAAGCAUGGCUUGCAAAGAAAUCAAUCAUGCCGUUGUUAUCUGUCUCAUCAUUGAUGGCUGCAUUUCCAAUCUGCAUUUUGGCACAGAAGAGAAAGUUUAAUCCAGUUCCAUAUACAAGUUAACAUAGUAAUUAGCAUUUAACAGCUCUUUCAUUUUCAAUAAUUAUAUGUAAUUAUUCACAGCAGUCACAUUCACGAGUUGGGAUAUGGUUAGAAUAUUGUACAGCUAAUUAUUGAAUUUCUUCCCCAGAAAGUGGAAGUUUGAUUAUAAGGGUCCCUCCUCAAUGCCACUCAACUUAUAUAUGGUCCUCCAUGAAGCUGUUUCCGAGAUGUCUAUGCAAUGUAUAACAAAUCAAAAAGUAAUAUUCAGUGUCUUGUUUUAAAUGGGGUACAAGCAGGAGUGGAGCUUAAAGAAACAAAUGUACGAAACCAGGAGUGGAGCUAAGACCCCACAGUAAGUGGGGUCAAAUUUUCGUACAGUAAAAUUUAUUUUUUAAAAAAUAAAAACUAUUAAUAUUAUAUAUAGAUUAUAAUUGUACCCUAUGAGUACUCUUUUUUUUUAAAAUGUUAUAAAAUCAAUUCAUUAUCAAUUUUGUUAAAUACAUCUUUUCUCAGUGUAAAUAAUUGAACCUCUUGAAUUUUUUAAAAUAAUCUGCGAAUCAACAUCAACUUGAUAUCCUACGGGUUUCUUUUAUAAAAUUUAUCUUUACCUUAGUAUAAAUAAAAAUCAUAAUAACUUAAUUUCGUACUAUAAAUAAAAAGUUUACCAUCCACUUGAAUAAUUCUUAUUUUUGAAGACUUUGAAGUUUGAAAAAAAAAAAGGAUUCGAAGAAUUGAUUUUCUCACUCCACUUAAGAAAGUUUACCCCUUGUGUUUGGAAAUUUUAGACGAAUUUAUUCUUGAACUAAAUUCCAUAGAUAAUAUGAAAUAAAUUCAAAAUUAUUGUGAUGGUAAGAAUUAUGAAUUUUCAAUUUUUUGUGGUCAAUGUAUAUAGGAAAGAGAAUUUGAUAAAAUGUAGUGGGAUCAAAUAAGAUGCAACUUUAAAAUUUUCUAAAUUUCCUAAACCUAAGAACUAAUUUUCCAAAGUUAAGUGGGGUCAAUUGACCCCACCUGCUUGUAUAUGGCUCCGCCACUGUAUGAAACCCAAGUUGAUGUGGUCAAGCUGGCAAAUUUAUGAUUUUCCUUAGUGCCUGUUUCUCAAAUGAUUUUGAACAUCUGAUUUUCGACUUUUGAUUUCAUAAAACUUAGUACUCUAUUAUGUUGUCAAUUGGAUUUCAAAAUAUGCCUUUAGCUAUUUGUUUUUAAUGGGAAUAAACUAAAAUUCAGAAGCAGCAAAUUGAGUGCUUUAGAUUUGAGAACUAACUCUCAAUACAACAUAAAUUCUGUCAUUCAAGAAAAAAGGUUUAAAACAUUAAGAGUAGCUUUAUGAUGAUUGACGAACAAGUGGGAGAAAAAGCUUUGGGCCUUAGAAUUUUCUUAUCAUGUUUCACAUUACGAGGAUGCUUUUUCUCCAAAGUCUCUAAUGAUGUCUCCGCUUUGAGGAGGAUAAGUUAGGCCCACAGUUGAACAAAAAUUCCUUGUCUUUGUCGACAAAAAUCAAGUUGAAACCAAUGAUGGAAGUGGAGAGACGUACCAGAAUUCCUCUGAGAUUAAUGAUUGUCUUGUUGGCCUUCUUGUUAUGGUAAAUAAUAUUAUGUGCUAAUUGAGGCACAUAAUGGCCAGCGUAGCUCUCUCCAGCUAUGUAAAAAUCUCUAUUUUUGUACUCAGGAAACCUCUCAAGCCAAUUAAGUAAGAAAAUGUAAUUGUCUGCAGCAGCUUUUGUAUCCCCACAAUUCUCCAAAUCUGACGUUGCGUUGGAGUAUGAAAAUCCAACCCCUGCUGGAGAUUCUAGGAACAGAACGUUGGCAACUGUUGGGAGAACAAAAUAAUUGAAAAAUUAUUAAGUACCUAGACAUUAACACCUUUCAUUUACAAGGCAAAACGAAGUAAAAUUUCAAGAGAAAAUUCCACACCAUGAUUCCAGGCAUAUUGAUUCUUGUACAGUGUUUUGCCGUCGCUACCAACCCUGAAUGGUCCAAGUUCUUGCAUUGCCCCAUAGCCAAGUGAAGAACAGCCAGGACCUGUUUCGAAAGUGACAAAUUGGGAAAAUUUCAUGUUGAAUUGAAUGCAUUACACAUAAAAGCCUAUGCCGCGUUGAAUUGACCAUUCUACAUAUCCUGCCGAUGACGAGUUAAUUGAGGUGUUUAAUUUUGAUUGAAUUAAAGGGUCCGUUUGGAUGGUGUAUAUUUAAGUGUUUGUAUAAAAUUUUACUGUAAUUUAUUAUAGAAUUUAUAAAAAAGCUUUUGUCGAAAAAUUGAUACAAAAAAUUAUUUUGCUUUUGGGUUUUCCCCUCCCCUCCUCCUCCUCCCUCCUCCCUCCUCCCUCCUCCCUCCUCUCUUCUCUCUUCUUGCUCCAUUCCUCCUCCCUUCCCUUUGUUUGAGUGUGUGAAUGAGUAUGUAAAUUAAUUUAAAGUUUUUAUAAUAUUUAUUAGAAAACAUAAUAUUUUAAAGUAGGCCCCCCUUUUGGGUCAAUAUGUGAUUAUUUCUCUUGAUUUUGAUUGAAUUAGAAUCCUUAACAGGGCGUGAACUCUAAAACGAGUUUAAGAUUAGAUGCACUUUGUCGGUUAGUCCACCUUGUCAUCUCAAAGUGCACCCUGAUUCAACAACCCCCACUUGUUUUUUGAAAUGACACUUUAGACCCUACUACUAAUAUCUGAUCUUAGAAAACUGAAAAACUCAGAAGGAUGUCAUGUAGAUUAUCAAGUGUUAGUGAAUUAACACUAAAAUGACCCUCAUUCCUAUCUAUUAUAGUCAUUAGAAUUGAUGGAAGUGCCAAAAUUUUAUACUUUUUUUUUGUUUUCUUUUUCUUUUUAUUGUUGUUGGGGGGCGGGGGGUGUGGAGUCAAUGAGAGACUUAAGUCAACAAAAGGAUGAGGAACCAAAACUUUUAAGACCGAAAUAGUUUUAAGGAGUUGUGGGGUACGUUGUUCUUUUGGCUUACUACUUGUGACUGUGAUUACUUAUAUAUAGAAAGAAGAAAAAGAAAAGACUUUUGACAAUGAUUUUAUCUCUUUGGGGUCUUAUUAAACCAAAUCGACAUCCAUGCCUCAUCAUUCUGAACACAAUAUGAACUAGUAGUGUUACAGAAUGAGUAUAGUUUAUUAAAAUGGAUGAUUACCCUGAAAUAGAUAAUUAAGUUACUCAAGAAACUGUUAUGAUAUCUAAAUGGAUUUAGUAGAUGUCAUAGUAAAGCAAAUGAAAAAGUUUCUUAAUAUUUUUCAUGCGAAUUCUUAUGUCCAUUGGCGUAUGAAUCAUGGACUCGAAUAGAAAAGACUUACAACUGUCAUAUAACAAAGAAAAAGCAUACCAUUUAGAUGUGGCAUCAUUUGGAUUGAGGGAAUGAGAGGGGAAGUAGAGGGGAAUAGGAAGGAUUUGGUCUUCUUUAAUUUUUUUAGGGGAAAGGUAGAUGUUGGGCUUACUUGUUUAUUUUACAUUUAGUUUUGGACACUGGUUAAGUAGAGUUUAGUUAUUGUUAUUUUGAAAAAAAAAAGUUAAAUUACAAAUUUGUGAAAAUACAAAGAAAGACAAUAAUUGUUAACAUAUGCAUUUAUAUGAUAAGUUUGAUAUGAUUUAUAUGAUUUUAAGUGUAUAACAAUCGGCACUUGCUAGAAUAACCUAAUGAAUUGAAUUGAAUCACUCUAACUUGCCUAAUUUACAUAUGACUGCGCAUCCAUUAAACCAAAAAACCGAAUAAAUUAAAUUACUUUUACUUGCUCAAUUUACACAUCUCUCCUUACUUUGGACACAUGGACCAAGCCACUUUUAUCUACUCUUUCCUUAUCCUUUCUUUUCCUUCUUUUUCCUUCCCCUUAAUCCAAACACUGCAGAAAACCGCCCGAAAAGAAACUCAAUUUUCCAUUGAUUAGGUGGGAUUACUAGACUUCCUUAAUCAUUAAGAAAGAAGACUCAACUUACUAGAAAAAACAGAACAACCUCACAGCUCAUAGGCAACAUGCAUAAAUCGCAUACGAAACAUCAAAAUCAGGUCCUAUACAGCUGUGCUGGCCCCAAUAAUUGCCAAUGUAGCGUUCAAAAAACGUAGCAAAACUGACUGUUAGUCGUUGCAUUUUUGUCAUGUAAUUCUGGACACAACGAAAAUUACCUGAUGUAAAGGCAAUUUUGUAAACAAGCAAGUUCACAAACUGAAGAGUAGACAGGGAAAAAAAGGGAAAGGAAACUCAAGAAGAUCGAAGUUAGUUUAAAGUACAUAUAAAUACCUCCAUUGAGCCAAAGCAGCAGGGGCAAAUCUUGAGCUUUCUUGGGAUCCUGUGCUUCGGUGAAGUAAUAAUAGAAGGCACUGCCGGCAGUGGCAUUGAUGGUGACAUAUCCACCAUACUGUUUGAAAAUAACGGGGGGUUGUCCGGGCAAUUCCUGAAUGAUAUCCUUCUCUUUCAGCCCAUCUUGCGUAGGCUCAGGUGGAUUCUCAAAUGGUGUGAAGUGGGAUUUGUCAAUGUUAGAAUUAGGCUUCAAUUUGGCCAUGAAAAGUUGAUGGUCAGCUUCCCUGUGGCUCUUCCCAAGGAUCUUGAGAGCCAAAGAUGAAAGCAAGAGAGUUGAGAGAAGAAGAAUUUGGGUUUUCUUGAUCUCCAUCUUUGGAGUAUUCUUGCUUUUUGAACUAUACUACCUUCGAGUCUGAACUUUGCGUAUAUAUAAGAAAUUUAGGAAGGUGUAUAACAACUAUCAAAUAUGACAAGCAUAAGUUAUGUAUAUGGCAACAAGCUAAAUUUUCACGUUUUGGUGCCUUGGACAGGUUGGAAAUCAGGUUUUGAAAAUUGUCUUCUUGGAUAGGAGAGUAUCUUAAGGAUUCACUGAUUGCCCUUAGGGCAUUUUGGUCAUUUCACAUGAACAUUCCGAUUUGCACAGGACAUGUUGAUUUGUGCAUUAAUAAUAGGGUAAAUAACAAAAAAGCCCCCUGUGGUAUAGCUAUCAUACAAAAAAACCCCCUCUGGUUUCAUAUCAUACACGUCGAUACCCCAUACUUUGAAUUAUUGUGAAAAUUCGACGGAAAUCGUCAAAUGUACCGCGUUUGACUUAAACGCACUGGAAAUGCGCGUGUUUCUUGCGGACAAGAGAUUUCUACCACAAACUUUCAGCUGAUAUGCCUUCGUUACCCUUCAGUGACUUUAAUAAAAAGAGGGAGCCAUCAAAAUUGAAGGCUCGGCCUUCAUUGACUUUAAUUCUUUCAGCUGAUAUGCUCGGCUUCAGCCAAAAUUGAACAAUUUCCAUACAUCGAGAGUAAUCAAUCAAGCAGAGGUUGCAAGCCAGCAAAGGAAUUGCAGGAAAGUGGAGAAUCGAUGUCUUCCUCAAGCUCUCGAACAACCAGCGGCGGAAACGGAGCUAGAGGUCUGCGAUACCAGUAUAAGAUAUGUAAUUGUGGAAGGAAGGCGAAGCUAAAGAUUGUUGAGUCGGAAAAGCCAUCGAAAGGAAUGUUGUAUUUUGUGUGUGAAAAAGAUGAAUGUCGAUUCUUUUCAUGGUGUAGUCCAAUCUACAGAGACGAGCCAAAUCGAGAUGCACCUAUCCCCGUAGUGAGCCAGCAUGUUCAAGAAAAUUCGUAUUUGGGUGGCGUGCUCUCAAAACUGGAAAAUUUGGACAAUGAAAUGAAGAACUUGAAAUUGCUAGUUGGAGGUUGUGUUAUGGUAGCUAUUUUUUCUAUUUUAUUGUUGUUGAUGUCUACCAGAUAAGAUAAUGGUAGGCUGUUGUUGAUGAUGUAGUUCUUCAUCUAUCGAAUUGCUAGUUGGUAGGCUGUUGUUGAUGUUUUGGCUUUUUCUUGCAGUGAAAAGGAACAAAAUUGGUAAUCUGUAUUUUGGAGUUUUGUUUUGGCAAUCUGCAUUUUGAAAACCCCUAAAAAUGAACGAAAUAAGCAAUUUGGAGUUUUGUUUGGUAAUCUGCAUUUGGGCAAGUGUCUUGAAAAUGAACAGAAUUGCAGCAAGUACUAGUUGGAGUUUUGUGUUAUGUUAUCUUUUCCUGUUGUGUUUUGUUUGAUGUCUACCAACCGAAUAAUGGUCAGUGUUGGACCAAAAGUUCAAUUCAAAGUUCUAACUACAAAUCAUCUUACCAAUUUUACCGCUUCCCAAUUGAAAAACUACACAAUUCUUGAAAUUUGGAAAGAAAUAUCGGCUAGUAGAAUUGUGGGAUGCCAUCAUCUUACCAAUUUCCAGAUUCAUUCAGCAACUACAACUUACAUAGUUGACAGAAAAAGAAGCCAAAAAUAAAUGUAGUUGCCAUUUCACAUAGCAGACACCAAAAUCUAUUCACAGAAGAAAUAUACAACAAAUGUUUCCAGAUUCAUUCAGCAACUAUAACUUAUAUAGUUGACCGAAAAAGAAGACAAAAAAUGAUUAAAGCUGCCAUUUCACAUAACAGACACCAAAAUCUGUUCACAGAAUCUGUUCCCAGAAGAGAUAUACAACAAAUGUUAUAGAUUCAUUCAGCAACUACAACAUCACAUCACCCAUAUCACAUAACAUUAAUCUGGUGGUUGCCAAGAACUUCAACCCAAAAUCUGUUCCCAGAACAUAGAUUCACCAAAUAUUCAGUUUCAUUCAGCAACUACAAAUAUUCCAAAAGCUAUUCUAACUACGGCUAGGCCACUAUUCUGGCAGGUAAUUAAGCCUUCUUAGGCUUUUGAUCUCUUUGGCCUUAAUUUCCGCAGGACAUCAGUAACAGUUGGAGCUCUGGCUCUUUUUACUGUUGCAGUGGUGCCAUCAGCCUUGUUAUCUCCAUUCUUUGUAGUACUUCGAGUACCAGCAGCUCCUUCACUAAUUGGCUGUGGUUGAGUGGACGACUCAGCAAUUGGUUGUGAUUGAAUGGAUUCAGCUGCGCUUGCUUCAGGUGCCUAUAAAUGCCAUUUAACAUUGUUAAAACAUACAGAUACUAUAACAAUGACAUUUAAGCGUAUAAGGAAAAUUACCUUAUAAAAUUUGGAGUUAGGGUGAAUGGGAUUCUUGCACGUCCGUGAGUUAUGCCGUGGCUGAAAACAUCUCUUGCAAUGUACCACAAGACCCUUUCUAGUUGAUACUUGACCCUUCUUAGGCUCAUCUUGCGCUCUUCGGCGCAGUUUCUUUGGUCUACCAGGCAUUCUCCUAACCACAGGGGGGUUUAUGGCCUCUUCUUCGCAAGUUAUCUAGUAAAUAUCACUUGGAACAGGUGUGAUAGUAUGUGCAUAUAUUUUUAGAUAUUCAGCUCUAGUGUAGCAAGUAUGCACAUAAUUUUUUAUAGGUAAUCUACACACUCCUAUCGCAGCACAUGCAUGGGCACAAGGAUAACCUGUUAAUUGAAAAUACCCACAGGUACAUGUCCAGUUUUUCAAGUCUACUACUACACAUUUUCUCACACCACAGUCAACCUCAUACUUGUGACCCCCAUCCCAGGUCGCAACAAAUGUCCUACUCAACCUCUGAUUCUUGUCAAUCUUUUCUGCUAUAUUAGGACAGAUUUCUCCUUGAAACUUUUGCAUUCCAGAUCUCUUUGUUUGAAUUCUCUGCAUCAAUCUCCUCCUUAUCCAUUCAAGCAUCCCAAUGAUAGGUAACUCUCUUGCUUCUAAUAUGUAGUUGUUGAAUGACUCAUUUAGAUUGUUUACCAGAAUGUCACAUUUACUACAUCCUGUAAAAUGUGAUCUACUCCAAAGAGUUGGUGGAAUUCUGCUCAACCAGUCAGCAGCUUCUUUGUUUGCCUUUUCUAGUUCAAUCAUUGCCACUUUCCAUUCCUUUUCAUUGCCAACACUUGCAGCAGCCCAAAACAUGUCUUUCAUUUCUUUUCCUUUGAACCUUUGGUUAAAAUUCUGGUACAUAUGCCUCAAACAAAAUCUAUGUUCUGAAUCUGGAAACACUUCAUUGACGGCAUGCACAAGCCCUUUCUGUCUAUCUGAGAUAAAGGUCCAAGGAAUGUUAUCUCUUCCCAUGCCCAAAUCAGCCAUUAGCAACUCCAAAAAUCAUUUCCAGGAGUCAUACCGCUCUACCUCUACCACUGCAAUUGCUAUUGGCACCAUGUUAUUGUUGUCAUCUCUGCCAAGUGCUGACAAUAAUUGUCCACCAAAUGUUGUCUUAAGAAAACAGCCAUCUAGACCAAUUAUUGGUCUACAACCAUCAAGGAAACCCUGCUUGCAGGCAUGCAAGCAAUAAUAUAACCUUUGAAAUAUACCUGUUGAACCAUCAGGUGCUUUGUCAAUCUGAAUUUUUAUAGUACUUCCAGCAUUUGUGUCUCGGACGGUGGCGGCAUAACUCCAGAGUUUUUGAUACUGCUCCAUGUCCGUGCCAAGCAUCAUAUCCUUUGCCUUACGCUUAGCUCUACCAACCUUAGAAAUUGACACAUUGAUCAUUAAAUCUCUUCUGAUGUCAUUCUUCAAGCCCAUCAACUCAAUUUUUGGAUUAUCCCUGAUCUUAUCUUGAUAUUUGCUGCUCAGAUAUGUGGCUGUUGCAUGCUUAUUUUGAUAUUCUCGAGCACACACAUGCUCACCCUUCAGUGACUUUAUUUGGAAGGUUGAUUCAUCUUGAAUUGGUGUUGCCCGAAUCCUCCAACUACAACCUUUUGCACAGUUGGCAAUAAUUUUCUUGGAGUAGUUUUUCACCCAAGUAACUUCAUAACCCUCUCUUACUAGCCAUUCACACAACACAGAUCUAAACACUCUAAAAUUAGUAAACUUUUGCCCCACUUUCAGCUCAAAGUGUGGCUUCCUAAACUCAACUUUAGGAUUAAAGUCAAGGCAGUCAUCUUCUUCUCCACUACCAGAUCUAAAUUUGUCUAGCAACUCUUCAUCCGGAACCACAGGUUCUUGCCAAUCCUCUUCAGUCACCUCAGCAUUCCCUACCCUUUCGUCUUCUUCUCUCAAAUCUGAUUCUCUAAAUGUUGCAGGUGGUUUUUCAAUGUUUAUAGCUUCAUCUUUUGAUAGCUUCUGAGAUGAAACAGGUCCCUUUUCAAUGCUUACAUCUUCAACUUCUGAUGGCCUUUGCUCUGAAACAGGUGGUGUAAUUUGCUGAAUCACGUCAGGCCCUCUAUAUUGUGAAUUUUUACUGGCCCUUUUCUUUCUCACAGAACCCCUUUUAGGAGAACUUUUUUCAUCUGACUUUCCAGCAAAUGAGAAUACAUGCACUGGCAAUUUUGAAGAAGCACUAGUGCCAUCUGCCCCUGCCCCACCUUUUUUGUUGUAGUUGCUGUCUCCAACAGCAUCUUUCUUUGGGCUAAAGAUGUCUUCAUCUUCUAUUGUUUCCAACCCAUCUUUUAACCAUUCUGGCUCUUCAUCAUCUUCACAUGCAGCUGUCCUCGUAGUGUUAGUGACCCCACCAUCUUCACAUGCACCCGUAUCAUGGCCUUCAUUUUUUAUUCCAUCACUGACCCCACCAUCUUCUGGCUCCUUUUCAAAUGGCUCAUCCCCACUGCAAGCAUAAAUUAGCCUUUCCUUAGGCAAGUUCCAGUAGCACUGGUUCAUUAAUUCAAUAUCAUUAUUGUCUCUAAUUGGGUGUAGACCACCUUCUAAAUCCACAUCUGGGACACAAAACCAAAAAGUUACUCUAGUUGCUCCUUCAUCUACCUUUUUAAACAUUCUACACAGACUCACUAUCGAUAACUGAUUUUCUAUUCUGUCUUUGAAAAUAGCCAUGUGGGUUCCUGUGUAUUGGAGUCUUGGCUUUUCUCUAAAUCUCCCACCAAAAUACAUGUGUAUGUCAACUUUGUCCUCAGAUUUCUCCUCUGCUGCAGCAUGAUAAGCAAUAAAGGACAUCAGAUAUUAGUAAUUUGUCUUUGACAACUACACAAAAACUAACAUAACACAAUCAGAACAAACAAUUCAUUGUAGGUGGGAUUGGGGACCACAUUGGACCACAACAUGUCUCCAUAUAAGCCAUAUUAAGAUAAUUACAGAUUACAGAAGUUGUCGUGCUUGACUAGUCAUGGCAUUUAACAGUAGUAAUUGAUCAAUACAAGUAAUACUACACAUUGAUAGUAUAAAUUUAAGCCAAAAACAUGGACUGUCAGACUCAACAAUUGAGUCUGACCAAAAAGAAUGGGUGACCAGAUUAGGACAUGAAAUGCGUAGCCUUAUCUUUGCCAAACAAUUGAGGAAUUGGAACCAAAGCUAGUAAACGAGGGACCUCUUCUAUAAAGCUAUCCCUUUUUAAGCUUUCAAUAAUUAUCAAAACUUUAGCAAUUUGAAAGGGACGCUUAAGCUGUCUAUCUAUGCAGCUAGGUUUGCUGGACAUACAUGAACAACCUUCAUCUUCAUUACGUAAAUACAUCAAAAAUAUUAUCUUUGUUAAAUAAUGGCCUUCCAAUUUAAUCUAAAAUCAGUAAAUAACAUUUUCGCUUCCACAUCAUACCCUAAAACCCGAAUGGAAAUAGAUGAGAGAUGAUAUACUAACCCAUUUUUCUUCGAUUUUUCACCGCAAACCUUCACUUCCUCCUAUUUUCCGUCGAUCUUGAUAUUUGAUUGAAAUAAGAAUCAAAAUUUUUGCUGAAAAUUGGCUACAUAAGGGGCUGCAAUUGGCUACAAAAGGGGCUGUUUUUUCUUCGAUUUUUCACCGCAGAUCUUCACUUCCUCGUAUUAUCUGUCGAUUUUGAUAUUUGAUUGAAAUAACAAUCGAAAUUUUUGCUGAAAUUUGGCUACAAAAGAGGCUGCUCCAUCUUCUCUCUAGGGUUUUUUAUUUGGGUUAAUUCCACUUUGUCCCCCCAAACUUUGGACGAUUAUCCACUUAAGUCCCUAAACUUCAAAAUGGGACACUUAAGUCCCUGAACUUAUAAAUACCUCCCACUUAAGUCCCUGAACUUAUAAAUAGGGACACUUUAAUCCCUAAACCCUCAUAAAAUGGGACACUUCGACUACCAACGGCAUUCAUGAUUUGUUAACAAUUUUCCUUAAGUGGGAGGUAUUUAUAAAUUUAGGGACUUAAGUGUCCCAUUUUGAAGUUUAGGGACUUAAGUGGGUAAUCGUCCAAAGUUUGGGGGGACAAAGUGGAAUUAACCCUUUUUAUUUCUUUCUCUCUCUCUUCGUUGGUUUUGACAGAAUGAAGAGCAAAAUUACUUCUGCAAUUGUCGCUUAUAUCAAAAGGGUAUUUUCGUCUUUUCACUCAGCUCCGUCUGUUUUAACGAUUUCCGUCGAAUUUUCACAAUAAUUCAAAGUAUGGGGUAUCGACGUGUAUGAUAUGAAACUAGAGGGGGUUUUUUUGUAUGAUAGCUAUACCACAGGGGGCUUUUUUGUUGUUUACCCUUAAUAAUACUAAAAUUUUGAACUCCAAAAUUUUGGAGUGUAAAUUUUCCGUAUACAUAAGAAAACUAGGAUGGUGCAGAAGAAAUGUCAAUCAUGUGCAUCAUUUUUGUCAAAAAUUAUCAUGAAGACAAAAACAAGAAGGAUUUUUUUAAUGGGUAUUCAAUAAACACUCGUUAACAUACUUUAAUCACACCUGACCAUAAAUACUCAUUAACACACCUUAAUCACACCUGAUCUUAAGAAAAACUAUAAUGGUGCAUAAGAAAUGCCAUUCAUGUGGAAGUCAAGUAGCUAGAAAAGUAUGCCAGAAUGGCCAUCGCUGAGCAGACAAAUGCGUUGGACUGGUUGGAAAUCUGAUUUUGUAAAUAGUGCCGUUGAUCUAGGAGUUUAGGAGCACUAAUGAUCUUAAUGAAUCCAACUGCAAUAUGCGAAAUAUUGGUCAUUUUAUAUGAAGGUUCUAGUUAUUAUAAAACAGGUAAGUGUUAUGCAUUUGUAGAUGGUGAACUGUGUAUGUUACCUUUAUGCUAACAAUAAAAAGUUUUCCUUCAUUCCCAAAGUUUUUGUUAAUUGUUUGUUCAAUACCCAUCCAACAUCUUUUAUAUAUAUAUAUACAAGCAAAUCAUUUUCUGAUGCAUGUACAACCCCUCUACCCCAUCCCCCCCCCCCAAAAAAAAAGAGAGAAAAAAACUAUAAACCUACAUCAUCCACUUAAUGGCUAAUGUCUUGUUACUGUUCAAACCAAAGUGAAUAAUUUUUGUCAAACUAGUUAAACAUGAUGUUAUUGAUUAUUAAGUAAAUAUCAUGAGGAUAAAAUUGAGAAAAGCAAUGAAGGUAAGAGGUGAUUUCAACAGAACUUCAUUAGCAAGAGCUUUUUGUUUUCUUGGAAUGAUUUUUCUUGGUAAUCAUAACAAGGUUACUUUCGGCAUGGUCAUAUGAGGAAGAAAAUCAAAUAAAUUGAGCACACCGGCCUUGCAAACUUCCGGUUCAAUGCGAAAUUUGAUGCCCUAUUUUUGGAUUAUUAAGUUGGCGGAAUGGACUAAAAUUCUUCUCUAUGAUAAGUUAGCAUAUGCAAGUUCAUCUAAAUAAUAUGGCAGUUCUCAAUUCCUAUCUCUGCAUUUUUUAAUACUGUUUGAGUACUGUUUUUCUUUUUUCAUUUUAAUUUUAACAAUCAUGUUUUACUGGUAUAUUAUUGAGCGAUUCAGUAGUUUUGAUUGCAGAUAAGUUUUGAUUCUUAAAACAAUCAACUUAAUGUAAAAAAGAAAUGAAAAGUACGACUUGCUGACAAAAAAAAAAAGAGAUUUAUAAUAGUGAAUAUUUAAAGUUUUAUUCGAAAUAAUGUCCAACAAGAAUGCUCUUGAGUAGUCUUGAGAGUUUUGCUUAUUUUUUUUCCUCAAGUCGGCAACUUUGAGAGCUUUUGUAUACUAAAUAAUAAACAUGAUGGCUGCUUAAAGAGGAGAAGUAUUUACUACAUUUUUACUUCUCUUCCUUUGCUAAUUAUAUUUAUCAUGUAGGUGUGAAGUUACUCUUAAAUGUUUUAAGUAAUUGCAAAAUAUGAGAUAAUCUCCUUUGAUUAAUGUAUCAUUUUUUCAUGAAUGACUUAUCAUAAUAAAAUGCCUUUGAAAAUUUUUCGUUUUAUUUGUGAAAAUGAUAUUGGAUGACUUACUUAUCAUAUAUCAAGAGAAAAAUUUGUUUCACUACAUCAUGCUUUUCCACUUGGAUUUCACUCGUCACCGUCCAUAUGAUGAGAAAAAGACUCUCCUUGUUCUCACGAACAAUUAAAUAAUAAAAAAUUCAAAAUUUUCAAAUACUUUGAGAACCAGUUUCUUCAAAUAAAAAUAUAAAACACAUAACUUUUUUCUUAUUGUAUUUCAUGAAUAUUACAACAUAUAAAUAUGUAUCUUAUGCGUUAUAAACAAAAUUUUCACAAAAAUUUCUUUCUUUCUAUGCUUUAAGAAUACAUGUUCUGAAUUCUAUAUAUUUCAUCUAUAAUCGAGUUUGAGGAUAUGUAUAUAUACUUACACACCCGUACACAUGCAUGCGUGCAUACACACACAUAUGUAUCUUAAGGGGGCGAAAUUUAAUAUACCUAAACUUAAAUAUAAAACCUUAAAUAUUUUAGGUUUUUUGCAGGGACAAGAUUUUAAAUUUAUAAAAAGUGCUUUUGAAAAUUUAUAAUUUUAAAAGAAAAGAAAAUUGAAUUUUUAUUCUCCUUAGUUUUGUCCCUAUAUUUAUUUAUUUAUGAAGCAACAAAGAGGCAGUUGCUUGCGUUUCAGGGGAGGGGCAAGAAUGGUAGCACCAAACGAUGUAAUAGUUUUUCAAUAGAUUGUAAUUUAUUGUUAAUUACUUGUACAUCUUUGUAACAAAUGUGUUAGAUUCUACAACUGUUCAUGUGUUGCUGUAUGUGUCUAUAUGGAGCAGAAUUGUUUAUACAUAUUUAUAAUAGAUAUGAUAAGAUAUAUCCAAAUACUGUUCAAGUUGAUCCAUACAUGUUAAUUGAGUUAAAAUAAGCAUUUUCUCGUCCUUAUAUUUUGAAUUUUUGUAUCAUUAGUGAAAUCUUAUCGUUGAAUCUUACGUUGAUAACCUUUUGUGCCACUAGUCCAUGUUUGACUGAUCAAGAUCUUCCGUAAAGAAUUAUGCGAAAUACUCUUUUGGCGACAGAUUCCUUUAUUUAGAGGGAUAACAUCAGAAACCUCAAAACCUCCCUUGAGGUUUCUCUUAAUAUUACCUGGUACUCCUAAAAUUUUAAAAAUAUUAUUUACCUUCCUUAUUUAAGUUAUUUAUAUAACAAAAUUUUUUAAAAUCCUAAACUACCCUUUUACUUGUUAAAUAAAAAUACUCAUCAAUCACUUUGUUUACUUCAAGAAAAUCAUCACCUAACAAACAAUCUCUAGUAGUUCUAUCACAUCAUGAUGCUAUAGUCCAUAAAAAUAUAAAUUUUAAAAAUAAAAAAGGUAUUUACAAAGAAAUAGACUUGCACCAAUUUAACUCUAUAUGCUCAAAAUCAAUAUUUCAUUAACUUUAUUUAUUUCAAUUUCUUCUCAAUCUGUGCCCAAAUCUUUAAAUUAUAUUGAUCAUUAUAAAAAUCAACUUAAAAUAAUCAAAUUAAUCAUACCCCACUCUAUUACAAUCACAAUAAGUAAAAAAUAAAUAAAUUUCAAUUUAUUAUAAUUUACAAAUAAAAAAUUGCAUAGUCAUUCAAAAAAUGAGUAAGAGAGAAUGUUGGAGAAAAGGAAAAAAGAUUAAAGUGACUUUUGUUUCCUUUUUUUUUAAUUUUUUAUCUCCAUUUAUUUGAUAUGUGAAUUAUGUAUCAAGUGAGAAUUAAUACUCCCUCCGUCCUACUUUGAUAGUCCUGGUUCUUUUUUCACACAGUUUAAUAAAAAGUAGUUAACUUUGUUGAAACAAUCAAUUCAGGUAACUAUUUUACUAAAAUACCCUCACAUUAAUUAGAGUACAACUUUAUGGGAACUUGAAUUGAUGGUAAAAAAGGAAUCAACUCUCAUUAGAUGGAGUAGGUUUAUAGUAACAACAACUUACAUUGAAUAAGGGUAUUUUAGAAAAAUUAAAAGACAACUACAUUCUUCAAUUGGAAAGUGGACUACAAUUUGGGAUAGACGAAAAAGGAAAACAAGACUAUCAAAGUGGGACGGAGGGAGUAUCAUCUUUUGCAAUUAUUAAGGGAGGUAAGUGAUAUUUUUAAAACUGUAAGAAGCCAAGUGAUAUUAGGAGAAACCUCAAGGGAGGUUUCUGAUAUUACCCCUUAUUUAGAUGACAAAUUAUGACUGGGCCCAUUACAUUAUGCAAGCCGAGGUCAACUUGACAUGUGCAUAACGGCAAAAGGUAAAGCACUCGUCACUGUUACUCGUCACUGUCCAAAAUUUCCGUCUUUCUUGUGCGACCAUAUUAGCCAUAGGCAUCAAAGUAAUAAUAAUAAUUAUGCUUGUUCAAAAUCAAAGCUUUCCAAAGCAGAUUCGCAGCUUUAGCCAAAAAUAAUAAUAAUAAAUUACAAAAAAAUCAACUUUUUUUUAUCUUGGUUUAUUACAUUUUUCAACAGUUUCAGAGAAAACCAAUCAUAAAUUAUAUAUUUUUUGAAUAUUGAUAAGAAUAUUAAAUUACAAUAAACUCCACUAAGUAAGCAUAGGAUCAAAGUAAACAGAUUACGUUUCAACAUCACUUUCACCACACAAAUGGUGUAAAGAAUAAUCAAAAUAUAGUGGACGAAUGUAACAGGCAAAUCAAUCGCACAUUGAAUACCCAAAAGAGAUUGAAGUUACCUUCUUUGUCCUUAAUCUUUUUCCAUCAACCAACCCGUCAUUUCUAGCAUCGGGACCAGUACCAACUUAAUGACCACAUAAUUCUACGAUUUUGGCUGCAUGUAGCAUUAUACCAAUAGAAGAUUUUUUUUUUGACCGUUUACCAAUAGAAGAUUCGAAGAUGACCUGUUCAUGGCUAUGGUCCAAUAUGGGCAGCCUCUUUUAGGCAAAAGAUUGUAGGCCAAGGGUCACAUGAAUUGUUAGAUAUUCUUGCUGAUGGUUUGUUUCUUUGUUCGUUUGAUUGGAAAGGAAAAAGUAUGGUAUGGGGACAAAACUAUUGGUGUCUUGUCUUAAUUUUAAACUCUUAGUACAUCUAAACAAAAUUGCACAAUGUAUAUACUACUAGAAAAUACUACAGUUCCUUUUGGGUAUAGUAGCCAUGAUUUUAUUUUACCAAAUCAUUUAGUGAUUUAAACUCUUGAAAUAAUUUAAAAAUUGAUAAAUUUGAUUCUAUAUCCAAUGGUGAAUUUGGUCUCAUCAAUACAGUAUUUAAAGGGACUGUAGAGCUCUCCUAUAUUAUUAUCGAGGGAUGCAGGACAAUUAAUUUAAAUUUGAAAUUGAAAUCCAAAAUUUCUAUAUGUAUCAUGUAUUUAAUCAUGACGGUGUACAUAUUGUUAAUGUAUAUAAAAUUAACUCUAUAUUAUUAUUAAAUGUUAUCUUGUGGACUAUAGAAAUUUAUUUGAAAAGGUGCAAGUAAUGUGUCCAAUUUGGUUUAUUUGAAAAGGUACAAUUUAAAAAAAAAAAUAGAUGUUGAAUGUAUGGUUUUGAUUUUUGAUACACUACAUGGUUUGGUCAUUUGUACCCACAAAGUAAUUUAAACAAAAACGUGAUUCAAACUUUGUAAGGUUUUAAGUCUGCCACACCGUCUUCAUUGUUAACAUCUUUCUACGUCCUAUCAGUUUCCUAAUUUACGAACUGUCCUUUAUAUAAUUGGCAAAUUAUCAAAUUACCUAUAUAUCCAUUCACAAAUUCCAUUCUCCAUUAACUCUUUGAUGAAAGGAAGGACCGUUGAUGCUCUAUCUUCCCAGUGUUCAAUAACAUCGCUGCAAUUUUUUUUUUCAAUUUAGUUAUUAGGAAAAAUAGGAAUACCCAAGUUUUUGUGAAAAGAUACAUUAGUCAAAAAAAAUACAAAAAAAUAGAGGGGAGGGGAGCCAAAGACCUGUAUGGUUCCCAAUCAUGAUGUAAUUUGGUUACACUAGCAUGGAUUGCCUCUUGAACUUUAGGAAGAUUCAAGUAUGAAUAGACAUAAUAUUCACUGCAUGGAUCGAACUCCAUUUUCUGCACAUCAUAAUACCUCAGUGUAAAUAAUUUCAAUGCAAAUGCCUCAAUGUGGCAUUCAUGCUCAGCAUGGCAAAGGCUUCACAAGCUAGUUUAGGGUAAGCUCAAUGUAAAUAAUUUAUUGAUUUUUAACUUUUUCUGUUCUUAUUAUUAAAGAAGGGGGAUGGUGGGAUGUGCAAUAUGAAAUCAAACAAAAAAAAUUAUUGAAAAUGACAAAAGAAAAGAAAAUCUUAACAGCUAUGCUAUGUAUAAUUGUCACUGCUUUUUGUUGAUUGAAUUGCUAAUAAAGUAAAAAAGGAAAACAUCAAAUGUAUCAAAACUCGAUGAAUGAGAUGACUACAAUUUCGUGUCAAUAGAAAAGAAAAAAGUUGACUUUAAUCAAUCCCAAUGAUAUGGUUCAUUGAUGAUCAUCUAUCAACUAUUUUGCUCGUGCUCAUAGUUUAUUUUUUAUUUAUUGUGAAUUAUGCAAAUGUGAAUAAUUUAAAUAAAAAAUUAAUAACGAUCUUACAUGUUCUUUUUUUAUUAAUAAAAAUUAAACCCUAAGCCCCUAUAAAUAUCCUUUAAAUGUUCAUGGGGCAAUCUCGAUUGAAGCCAGGUAAAGAACUAAAGCCAAUUUAAGACCUCUCACUCACACUCCUUGCCCCCUACCACUAAUCCAUGCCUCCCUUCUCAACAUUCAUACAUGUUCAUUGAAAUUAAUUUUAGAAAAUUGAUGAAUUUUAAAUGUUUAAUUAUCAUAUUAAUUUUUGAAAACAUCUUUACCUACUUUUACUAUAAUAUAAUAGUUGUUAUCAAAUAUUGUAACACAUGUCAAAAAAUCCAUAGAUAUUUUUUAAAAGAUAUUUAUUUAGACAACUAAAAUUUUUAUAACGACCAUAAACCUGGCUUUGUAUUCGUACUUAAUUAAGCACAGAAGAUUUAGCAAUUUAUUUUCUAGAUCAAUAAAUAUUUAGCUUCUAGCAGUAUUGAUAAAUUUAUCAGUUUAAUAGUUAAAGCUUUUUUCCACGCAACUAAUCUAUAUGGAGAAAAAAAUUAUACAAAGAAAAAAUGAUAUUAUUAGAAAAGAGAUAAACUAUAAGAACAAAUAAUUCAAAUUUAUUUUAUAAAAAGAGAAAGGAAUAAUUUAGUUUUGGUCUUUAAUAUUUAGCCUAUGUACCAAAUUGGUCCCCAAUGUUUCGGGCAAAACAAAUCUAAUCCCCAAAAGGUUGUGAUUUUAGGUAGAUUUAGGACAACUAAUGGAAAUAGAACAAUGACUAAUGAUCAACAUCAAAUUACUACUAGUCAACAACUUUGACUUUGCACUUUUUGGUCCCUCAUUGUUUUGAUUUUGAAUCAUUAUAGUUUUCUAAUUUUUAAAUAGUGAUAUUAGGAAAUUUAGCAUGAAUUGAGAUGCAAAUAAAAUGAAAUAGUGUUAAAUAAAACAAAUGAUCUUGAUUUACAAAAUUAUUAGAAGAGAGAAAACUAUAAGAAAAACUAAUUAUGGAAGAGUUAGAUACAAAGAUGGGUAAAAUUCAAGUAUCCAAAUAAUCCAUUAAUUUUCUUCAAUUAGGAAUAUAUGCCACAUAGGAGAGAACAUAUGGGUAAUCAGAAUAAUAACUAUCACAUAUAUAAAUAUAUAUUUGGGGAGUGGAAUUCUUGCAACAAAGUUUAAAACAAGUGAAAGACCCUAAUCGGGUCAAUAACUUCGCACUUGGUGACUAGCACCUCUAACUAUUACAAAAGUUAAAUUAUUCUUAUGUUCUUAAACGUAUCCACCAAUCUAACGACAAAAAUCAAAAGCAAAAAAAAUUUAUAUAUAUAUAAAUAUAUAUGUGAUAAUAAGUCAAGAUUAUUAUUACAAUUUGAGAAAUAAAAGCAACUUCAAAUAAUCUGAGACCAAAAAAGAUCUCUCUCGUGAGUUGCAAAAAAAACUUCAAUUGAUCUGACAUAAGUAGGGGUGGUAAUUUUCGACACAACCUGAAAACCCGACACGAACCUAACACGAAAUUAAUGGAUUUGAGUUUAGAUUUUGAGAAAUCGGGUCAAAAUUGGGUCAGACCCGGCAAACCCUAAAAAAACAGGUCAAAAUCGGGUUAAAAACGGGUUGACCCGCUAACCCGAUUUUAAAAUAAAAAUAAAUAAAUAAAUAUUAAAAAAGUAUCUAAAAACUUAAUAGUAAAUAACUAAAUAUACCAAUUAUCACUUAUCACUACACAGAAGCAGAAAUCACGCCGGUCCUAAAUCUUUCUUUCCCUUUUCAGCUUUUCUCCUCCAAAAAUCUAAACGCAGCUUUUCUCCUCCAAAACUCUAAAUGCAAAACCAGAUUUAGAUCUAGAUCUGGCUGAUGAUGACACUGAUGCACACAGGACUGAUUUGAUGACCAUAACUAGGUUUGUAUUGAACGAGCAGUCCAACUGUCCAAGCACGCAGAAUCUCGUGGGGAUUUCACUAUCUUGCUCAAUCACAUUGUUUUGGGUUGCAAGUUCAUUUGUUCUACUGUCAACAAGGUCCCUCCGCAGAGUUCUUUACUUCUUUUCUUUUCUUGAGCAUUUUCCCUUUUUUUCUAAAAACAGAGGCAAAAAGAUGAAACCUUGUGUUUUGUCACUUACAUUUUAACUACAUUAUAUAACCGCUUCCACUUUUUCUCUCCUUCUCUAACACAUACACACACACCAGAAAGUCUCUUCGGUAAAAUGUUCACCGAAAAUCAAUUACCAGCCUUUCCAACCUCAGAAAAACAUUUAUUACGAUUUUUCUUGGGCAGAGAAAUCUCAUUCUUUUUUUUUUACGGGAACGAUAGAUGUCAUUUCAUAAAAAAUUAACUUUACAAUAUCUGAGCAAAGGCCCAAGCAACUGUACUAAGUGUACCAAGACACUUAAGGAGAGCCAAAAAAUCUCUCAUCAUCCCUAAAUAUGCUUAAAGCAUAAUGACUAAUGUGAUUACAUAGAGUCAUAUUACUACUAGUCCUUUCUUCAAAAGAGCACAUUUGAAACAGAUUAGCUAAAGCUUGUAUGUCUUCAACCAAUGUAGCAGUAUUUGGAUUGUCUCCUUUCCCAGAUUUAAGCAAAGGGAUAAGCUGUUUGUUAGCAUUGAUGAUUUUGAUUCUCUGCCAGCUCAAUUGUCUUGCUUUCAACAUUGCCAGUCUUACUGCUUCGGCUUCAUCUUGAAUAUCCCUUUCCGAACUUCUUUCAACUAAUUUCCAUUCGGCUCUGAUUCUCCCUCCAGUCUGCCUGGCUACAACACCAAUUCCCAGUUUCUUGCCCUCAGCUGAUUUCUUGGUAGCAAUUUGAAGUUCCAUCAAGUCUUCCUCCUCCCUUCCUUCCUCCCUUGAUCUUUCUCUUGCUUCCUCUGUUUCUGAUGUACUCCUCUCUUUUUUCCCUUUCCCGGCUUCCUCAUACUCCAUCCAUUUUGUACUAGCUUUAUGUACAGUUUUCCAUCCAUCUCUCUCUUUCCCUUCAAAUUCCAUUUCAUUUCUGUCCUUCCAUAGUUGCCAAAGUAUAUUAGCUGUCAAUGCAAUAUGCUGCCUUCCUCCGUUCCUACUUCUGGCUUGGACUAAUUUUGUCCACCAUUGCUUGAAGCAUCCUGUUUGGUUCUGUAAACCAUCCCAUUGUACUGGUGCAAGCUUCCAAACCUUCUGAGCCUGUUGACAGUGGAAGAGAAUAUGUUCUACUGUUUCUAUGCCAUCCCCACAUCUUAAGCAAAAUGGCGAUCCUUGCUUUGUUCGCCUGAAUAUUGAUUCCCUAGCUGUCAAUGUAUUCGUAAUGCAUCUCCAUAUGAAUAGCUUGAUCUUAUGCUUAAUGUUCAGCUCCCAAAGAGUUUUCCAAAUUUGUGUGUUGGAAUCAUCAUAGCUUGAACCAGACUCUCCUCUCGCAUCACUUUCUUUCCUCUUCUCUUCCUUGAGUAAAGUCUGGUAGCAUGAUUUAACUGAAUAUUCCCCAUGUCUGCUAUGUAUCCAAAAGUGCUUGUCCCCUGAACUUGACAAACUGAUUGGUAUUUUCAGAAUAUUAUCCGCAUCCUCCCUAUUGAACCUCCUGUAGACUUCAUUCCUAUUCCAUCUGAAGUGUGAGAUUAGUUCCUCCAUUUUCUACUCCUCCCCCCUGUCUGGCCUCAUUGUAGUUGGUCUUCCAUUCAGAUUGUUUGGGAUCCAUUGGUCUUUCCAAAUUCUAAUACUCUUCCCUGAUCCGACUCUCUUCAGUACACCCCCCUUAACUACCUCUCUAGCUGACAUUAUACUUUGCCAGAACCAGGAAGAGUUUUUGGGGAUUUUACAGUUCAAAAUGGAAUCCUUAGGAAAGUACUUAGCUUUUAGAAUUUUGCUAACCAGCAGGUUUGGAAAUCUGAGCAUCCUCCAAAUCUGCUUUCCCAGUAGCGCCUUGUUAAAGCAUAUUAAAUUCCUGAACCCCAAACCUCCAUCCAUUUUUGCCUUCAUCAUCUUAUCCCAUGAGCACCAAUGUAUUUUGUUUCUCCCUUCUGCUUCACCCCACCAGUAUUUGGCCAUCAGUCCUGUGAUUUCCUUGCAAAGUGUAACUGGUAACUUGAAACAAGACAUUGCAUAAAUUGGCAUGGCCAUUGUCACUGCUUUUAGCAUCACCUCUUUCCCUGCUGCACUUAGGAGCUUGUUCUUCCAGCUGUUGAGCCUGGCCUUUAUGCUGUCUUUAAUGUAGCCAAAUAUCUGACCUUUUGUCCUUGUGAUCACCAUAGGAAGGCCCAAAUAUUUACCUUGGCUCACUGUCCUAACCCCAUCUAGAGGCUCACAGGUUUCCUUCUUGUCUUCCGCCUUAGUGUUCUUGCUAAAACAGAUAGAUGAUUUUUCCAAGUUAAUAACUUGACCAGAUCCUUUCUCAUUCUGAUUCAAAAUUGCUUUCAAUGUCCUUGCUUCUUCCCCCGCAGCUUUACAGAAUAUUAGAGUGUCAUCAGCAAAAAAUAAAUGAGUAAUAGCUGGUCCUUGUUUGCUUAUUCUUAAUCCACUUAGCUUGCCCUGUCGUGCUGCUUUCCUUAACAAAUUUGAGAGACCUUCAGAGCAUAAUAGGAAUAGGUAAGGUGACAGUGGGUCACCUUGCCUGAUACCUCUUGAAGGGAUCACAUACUCCUUAGUCUCUCCAUUGACAUUGAAGGAGUAAGAGACUGAGCUAAUACAUUCCAUUAUCCAUGCUACCCAGACUUGAUUGAACCCCAUCCUUUCCAUAACAGCUUUCAGAUAACUCCACUCAACUCUAUCAUAGGCUUUAGACAUGUCCACUUUAAUAGCAGUGUAGCUAUCCUUGCCUUGUCUCUUGUUUUUAAGGAAAUGAAGGCAUUCAUGGGAAAUGAUUAUGUUAUCUAAGAUCUGUCUGUCUGGGAUGAAGGCUGACUGGUUUUUACUGAUACAGUGUUCUAGGACAGGUUUCAACCUAUUGGCUAGGAUCUUAGAGAUUACUUUGUAUAGUACAUUACAGAGGCUAAUAGGCGUGUAAUGCUUCAGAUCAGUGGGCAAUUCUACCUUAGGAAUAAGAGAUAUAAUGGUGUGGUUCAGGGAUCUGAGAAUGUGGCCUGAGUGAAAGAAGGAUCUGAUUGCUUUCACAACCUCCUCCUUAAUGAUUGACCAAAAUUUUUGGAAGAAGAGAGGUGUCAUCCCAUCAGGCCCUGGUGCCUUAUUGGGAUUCAUGGAGAAAACAGCUACCUUUAUCUCAUUUUUCUCUACAGGUCUAGUUAGAUUAUCAUUAAUCCGGCUAGUAAUAGUGCAUGGAAUGCCAUCCAGAAUCUCCUCUAGGUCAUCAGUCCUAGUAGACUUAAAAAGCUGCUUAUAAUAACUAGCAAUCUCUUCUGCAAUCUCCUUGUCAUCCGUAGUCCAAGACCCAUCCUCUUUCUGCAAAUUCCCUAUCUUAUUCCUUUUCCUUCUCCCCUUCACCACUGCAUGGAAGUAUUUAGUGUUCUUAUCUCCUUCUUGAAGCCAGUUGAGCCUAGCUUUCUGACUCCAGUAUAGUUCCUCUUCCCUAUAAGCUCCCACUAACUGAUUUUUCAAAGCAGCUACUCUCCCCUUCCUACCUUCAGCCUCUGAACUUUUCUCCUUAAUAAGUUGCUGCUUCAAAGUAGAAAUCCUCUUCCUAGUGUUAUCAAUAAAACCAUUUCUCCACUUCAACAGGGCAACUCUACACCUCUUAAUCUUAUUCAUAACUCUAAACAUUCUGGACCCUCCAACAUCCUCUUUCCAGGCCUUCUUAAUCACCUCUCCUAUACCUUCUCUCUGGACCCAUCUUUUAUCAAAAAAGAACUUCUUUUUUUUCCUCCUUACCCCUGGGAUAGUGUCUAGAAUCAGCAUGCUAUGGUCAGAAGCUAAACUUUCUAAGUGAGUGCACUUAGGGUGCUCAAACAGAUUGCUCCAUCCUCCACUACUUAGACCCCUAUCCAGCCUUUGUCUAAUUUCUCCAUUUUGCCACUGAUUACUCCAUGUCCAGGGGUUACCUUCAAACCCAAUAUCAACUAGCUGGUUCUCCUGAAUGAAGUUUCUGAAGUCAUAAAAACUCCACUCCUCCCUAAUUCUACCUCCCCACUUCUCCUCGUUUGAGCAUAAGUCAUUAAAGUCCCCUAUAAUAAGCCAGUGUUCCCCCCACAAAACUUUCCUCCUACUGAUGACUUCCCACUGUCCUUUUCUCUGCUGGUUAUCACAACUGGCAUAGAUCCCUAUCAGCCACCAAUCCUUCUUCACUUCUUCAUCCUCUAUCAGCACCUCAAUAGUAAAGGCAGAAUGUUUAAUUUCCUUAACCUUAGUUUCCUCGUUCCACAUCAGACUCAUGCCUCCAGACCUAUUCAUGGCUUCUAUCACAUAACAGUUAUCAUAGUUCAGGAUCCUUUUCACCUUCUCCAUAUACUUAGCUUUGUUCUUAGUCUCACUUAGGAAGAUCAUGUUCAGGGAGAGGAGGCUUUUAACCUCCUUCAGGUGGGGAAUUGUCAAGGGGCUCCCUGCACCUUGGCAAUUCCACACCAUAGCUCUCAUUGGUCCUUUGGGGACCAGUGCGGGUUGAUCCCUUCCCCUCCAAACAUCUCAUUGCUUAUCCCUCCAAUCUGAUCUCCCCUAUACUUUUUAUCUAUGUGAUCCUGGUUCUCCACGUCUGCCAUUUCUUCAUCUCGCAGUUGAAACUUCCUUUUUGUCCCAUUAAUCUCCCUUAGAGGAGUUCUAAGCUCUCUUGGACCAGAGUGCACUCUUCUGAACCUCUUCCCCUCUAUCUUACAGCCUCCUUGGUUUUCUUUAUUGGUGGUUUCAUCUGUUUCCAUAUUCACUAACUCCCCACCUAAACUGGAUAUUUCUUGUUCUCCUUCUUUACCUUCUCCUAUCCUUCCAUACUCUUCCUUCUCAGUGUUUACCAUAUCAGUAGCUUCAUCAUUCCUAACCUCCAAUAUUCUUACUUCUUCCGGUCCUGUACUGAUCUUUAUACCAUCCUUCAUUCCUAUCACCUUCUCCAUGACCUGCUCAGAACCUCAGUUUGGUAUUAUCCUACCAACCUUCUCCCUAUCUGCAGGAGGGAGGCCACCCUUCUCCACCUCAUGAUUCUGGAUCUCUCUUCCCCUAACUUCCUUUGUCCUACUCAAAUCCAUAUUCUCAUUCAGGCCUACCCCUUUCUCCUGUUUCUCCAGAUCCUCUAAUCUGAUCAUUUUCCCAUUUCUUACCUUCCACACCUGUUUAUGUGGCAUCCAAAUCUUUUGACUGCUAUCCUUCUGAGGGGAUCCUCUUCCACCAAACACCCUCAUCCAAGGACCGUAUUGAUUCUGAUAUUGCCCCUUCUUCACAACCACAGGGAACUUACAAUUCUUUUCACUGUGCCCAAUGACACCACAGCUAUAGCAGAAGUCAGGACAUCUUUCAUAUUUAAAUGACAGCCAUUUAUUCACCCCAUUCAUCUGGAUUGUUGUUCCUCUCAACAAAGGCUGUUUAAUGUCUAUCAGAACAAGAAGUUUCAUAUGUUUCCCUUCCUUGCCCCCUGAUUGAGGAAUUAACACCUCCUUAACCUCGUGAAAGAUAGUUCCCACUUUCUUUCCUAUUGCCUUAGACAGACAGUGUAUGGGUAGGUUCCACACUUGCACCCAAAUAGGAGCUACACUAAAAGCAUCUUCAUCCUCUUCUAUCCCCACCUCCCAAUUCCUAAGCACUAAAAUUUGGUUGUCUAUAAUCCAGGGACCUCCUUCAAGGAUUCGUUCCCUUUCCUUAGCAUCCGGGAUAGUAAAUUGAAACACAUUAGGUCCUAACUCAGCUACUCUAAGACCUUUAGGGUAGCUCCAAGCCAAGGUAGCAAAAUUUUUAACUCCUGUGAAGUUAGCAAUCUUCUCCCCCCUUAUCUUACCUAUAAUACUACCCUGACACUCUAUAAUUCCCUCAUCUAAGUCCCCCAAAUCAAGGAGAGUACUCCCAACUUCCUUCUCUGAGAGGGCGAAUUUCUGUAACACUUCCACCAACUCCUCCUCCAUCCUGACCCUAGUAGAAAAACUGAGGGCACCUCUAACACUUGCCACCAGACACACACUAAUCACCUAGCUCUAUAGAGGUAAAGGUAAAGGUAGCAUUUUCUCUAGAAAAAACACACUAAGCUGACUAGCAGAGCCAAGGGUACAAGGAAAACAAAUAAACAAGAGCAAGAACAGUUAUGCUACCUUCACCAGACGUCCUCCCUUUAACAGAGUUGUAGAAGUUUUCCGACCAGCUGCUUAGGAAAUUGAGCUUGCUGAGGUACUUUUUCCCUUCCCUGUUCUCAAAUAUAUCCCUUUUUUUUUUUUUUACCCACCAAACAGCCCGCUCCUCUUUUCUAACUUCCUUCAAUGUGCUUUCUUAAUGAUAUCUGAUCCUAAAGCUUAAUGAAUGCUUGGCUUUGCGAUCCCGACUUGCAGACAAUUUUGGUACCUGGAAGUUAGCUCCAUUUCAAACUUUUGAAUUGUGUUCAUUGGUUGCUUGAAAUUUUCAAAAGCUGAAGUUCCCACCAAGGAGAAAGAAGCUCUCUUCCCAAGAGAGAGAAAAAGCCUCUACACGUGAGAGUAUCUGCAAAUGGAUGAUGGCAGAGAAAUCUCAUUCGAUGAAUUAAAUUUCAGGUCGUUUCAGGUCAACUCGCUUGACCCGUCAACCUGAAACUUUCGAGUUCGGGCUAGCGAUUUUAUGCAUUUUGCACACCGCGUAAUUUUGUUUGGAAACUCAUUAGUAUGCAAACAAAAUUACGCGGUGUGUAAAAUGUACAAAAUCGCUAGCCUGUGGUCCCAGUAGGUGGUGGUGGGUAGUUGAAAUUUUUAUAAAAUAUCUCAAAUAAUUCUUAAAUUCUAAAAAUAUCCCAAAAUACAACCAUAAAAACACUCCUAAAAACAAUCUCAUUAUUUAAAAUACCAAAUCUGUGAAUGUGUUUUAACUAUUAUCCAUUGGUAUUCUAAAGUAUCAUUUUCCCAUCAAAGACCAGCUCUUUAUGGUUUUCCUCCAUUAUAAGAACAGAGUACCUAUGUUCCCAUAAACAAAUUUAUUUAUCAGAUAAAAUAAAAAUAAACCUGUUUCCAAUAAAACAGCAACUCUUAUGGCUUUCCUCCAUUAUAAGAAUAGAGUACCCAUUUUCCCAUAAACAAAUUUAUUUAUCGGAUAAAAUAAAAAAAAUCCGUUUUCCAAUAAAACACCAGCUCUUUAUGGCUUUUCUCCAUUAUAAGAACAGAGUACCCGUUUUCUCAUAAACAAAUUUAUUUAUCGGAUAAAAUAAAAAUAAACGCGUUUUCCAAUAAAACACCAGCUCUUUAUGGCUUUCCUCCAUAAAUUAUCCAUUUACCUAUUUUUCCAUAAGCUAAUUUAUUAGUUGGUUAAAAUCAGAAUAAAAUUAGGUUGAAUGGCAAAUUACCCUUUAGGAUACAAUGGAAAACAAGAAACUAACCUAUAGCAAGUUUAAACUCCAUUUCCACUAGCUAUAGAUAUGCAAGAAAUUGUUUUUGCAAACUCAAGACACCUAAUUUAUAAAGUCUCAAGCAACCUUUAGAACCGUUAUAAAAAGCAACUUAUUCAUUCUAAAUUUUUGUUUGGGAUAAAUUCAUAAACCUCCCCGGAAGUUUCUAACAAUUUUACUCGGCACUCACAAAUAUUGAAAAAUCUCACUUGCCUCUCUUUUUUUUUUUGGGGUGUGAAACUCACUUGCCUUCCUUACUUUAAACUAUUUGUUUAUUUACAGCUCAUUUUAAAAUAUAAUAUUAAAAAUUUUCAUUUUGAGUAUAUUAAAAAAUGUAAUUCCAAAUUUACCCUUUUGUUGUCUUACUUUUUAUUACCAAAACUUGAGUAUAUUAAAAACAAAUAAAACAAAAAAGUAUAAGGAUUUAUUCUGAUUCGAUAAAAUAUAGUGCAUUUUUUAAAUACCAAUAGUUAGUAUUUGAAUGUUUAUUUGAAGUUUUUGCAAGUUACAAAGAUAAUGUUUUGGGUAGUCUAUAAAGUGUUUUUGAGUUAAUUUAUGAAUCUUUUACAUAUUUUCAAUUUUAUUUUAUUUUUAUGGUCCAAACUGAUGUAUUGAAAACGAAAAAGAUACAAGAAGAAAAAAUGAGAGUUUUUGAAGAAAAUGAAAGAAAUUGAACUGAUCAUGUUUGAUCAAUGUCUUGAAAAUGGUAGAGUAUUAAAAUAUACCAAAUCACAUACAAUGCUUCUAUAUGGGUGACCUUCUCCACGCGCAUUAGGACUAUAAUAUAACCGGUUCGUUAGCACCUUUAUUUCCAAAUGCACGUGUCAUGCUCUGCUCCUCUGCCUACGGUAGGACGGUCAAUGCCCUUCCUACCAUAAAGGUUUCCCAUUUUUUAUAUGAACACUUACUUUCAUCAAUCAUUGCAAAUAUCAGUUGUUGAGGUGUCACUUCCACAUUGGACAAUGAUGAAUACUACACCAAUACUAGAUUUCAAAUGGAUCCAUAAUUUUAAGGCCAUAUCGACUGUAAAUUAAGCCUAAAAGGGAAAUCCAAACUUGUCCACUCAAGUCAUGGCUUAACGUACUUUUCAAGGAAAAAAAAUAUAUAGAAAGGUCAUGAUUUAAAGUACGUUUGCCCCUGAAGGAGCUUCCAACACACAUAUCUAGACAAUGAAAUUUUUAUUACAAUUUAACAUUACUUCUUAUUUUAAAAAAAUUACUUCGUAUUUAUAAAUUAGUUUACAUGGCAUAUUUAUUUCCAAUUAAAAACUACCAUGUAUCAUUUGUAACUGAAAAUUCUUUUUUAAUUAAAAAAUUGGUUUUUCUAUCUUCAUACCCUUUAGAAAAAUGCUAUGCUAAAAUAAGUUAAAUUUGUCAAUUAUAUGUAUUGAAGUGGUUCCUCCAAUCAAUUCCUGUUUCAAUUUUGGCAUUCAUGCUCAGUCUAGCAAGGGCUUGAACUUAGUUUAGGACAAGCUGAAUGCAAAUAACUUAAAAAGUAUUUUCCCUUUUCCUGUCCUUUCAAUUAAAGAAGGGAACGGCAGAAUGUGCGAUAUGGAAAUCAAAUUUUAGUUUUAGAAUGAACAAAGAAAAGAAAAUCUUAACAACUUUGCAAUGUAUAAUUCCCACUGCUUUUUGUAGACUAAAUUGAUAAUAAAGUAAAAAAAAAAAAAAAGAUGAAAAACUAAACGAACCAAAACACGACGAGCAAGUUGUGUACUUUUGCCAUGACUACAAUUUUGGGUCAAUGUAAAAGAAACAAAUUGAGUUAAAUCCCGAAUGAGAGAGCUUUGUGAUAAUCUAUUAUCUAUUUGUAUAAUCAUUUUACAGGGAGUGGAGUCCCUGUUACAAAGUUUGAAACUAGUGAAAGACCUCGAUCAGGUCUAUAACUUGGUACUUGAUGACCAGCACCUCUAACUGUUGCAAAUGUUAAAUUAUUCUUGUAUUCUUGAACAUAUCCACC
rnacentral:lncRNA from 1 species